UUGCAUUGACAAUUUAUAGUCUAAAUUAUUUCUUACCACAGGGGUUUUGAUUCUUGACCUCGUUUACGGCACCAUAGUCUCUCCAAUCAAUACUUUGAGGCACCGCGGAGAUGUUUACGUCAUCAAAUGACACCACUGGCUCUCUCUCGAUAUUUAGUGGGAGAGAUACGCCGGUAUAUUGAGCAACAAAUUCGCUUUUUGUCAUAUCGGUAAACUGAUUGAUACCGAGAGUGUACGAAUUUCCGUUGCGACUGUUAAAGGUUUCGAUAUGCUUCACGUUGUUCUUGAAUAUCUGAAACCGGCGCAUCUUCUCGUCGUCGUCCUUGUAAACUCGGCCGUACUCCGCCAUCCAUUCUUCAAACCGCUUCAUCAUGGGAUCAUUGGGUUCGUCACGAGAAGCUGCCGAUGGCGAAGCCCACAUCGCACAGAGAAACAAGAAAAGAAACACGAGUUGAACUUUGGAAGCCAUGCUUAUGUAGCACUAAAUAUCUAGUAUAUGUAUGAGGAACUUGGAGAUUGAGCUACAAGAGCUUUUGUUGCUGAGAGUAUGGUCUCAAGAUCGAGUUUAUAUAGAAGUUCAUGCCUUCGAAUGUACGGGGGAGAAUUAAUGGGUGGGGGCCUACAAGACGUCACAAAUCGCCAUCAAAUUAAGAUUAAAUAGUUCUGGACGGCUUGCGACACCACAUCGUGUGGUCACUAGUGUAGUGAUCCGCGCAUUACGCCGAGUAGAUACUAUUAAAAUAAAAUUUUGUAUAAAAUAAAAUAUUAGUUUAGUAUGAAAAAAUAGUAAAUAUAGUCUAUAUUAUAAACAAACACUUCUAAACAAAAUAAAACUAAAAUGAAAAAAAAUUAAUCGUUUCAAUAAAAUUAUUCAAGCUUGUUAAAAAAAAAAUCGCAUAUCAUACAAAUGGAUGAUUAAAAUUAAUUUUAUAAUACAAUAAUCAGUUAAAAUAUCAUAUAGCAGUUGAUAUGACUAAAAAAAAACUCACAAUAAUUAAUAUGCAAGACAAUUAAUAUAUACAGAGAUAAUGUGAAACCAUAUAUACAUUAUGAGGAGAUGAUGUGAAGCCAUACAUCCUUACGUGUCUGUCGAGGUCUUGAAGUGCGUGAUGUUGAAAAUAAUUAUUACAACAGAAUUACAUUAUAAGAACACAUUUUCAGAACACUUUUGUGUAAUCAUAUUUAUACUAAAAUUUUUAAAAAAAAUUUAGUAAGAUCUAAAUAUAAAGCGCAAUUCAAUUAAAAACAAAAAGUCUCCUACUCAACUAGCCGCACUCAGCCCACUCGGUCUACUCGGCCUGAUUACAAAUAGAAAAAAAUAAAAAUAAAAAAUUGAUCACCAUCUUCUCUUCUCCUCCUCCGCCGUCGCAGCAUCUUCUCUUCUCCUCUGUCGCCGCAACUGACGAGGUAGAAUUCCGGCGGCUGGAGUUCGGUUGCGAGAAUCUCGCAGGGACCGUCGAGGGCUAUAAUCGCCACAUGUCCUUCUGUCACAGUUUGCUAGAGGAGUGAGUGACAAACAUCAAAUCUGCCAUACAUAUAACGACCCCACAUAGAAUAACACUUUUAAAAGUGUCGGUAAUUUAGCUAACAUCAUUUUUUUUUACCUAUACUGAAAUUUAGAAGUGUCGCUAUGUACCGUUUUUGUUGUAAUAUUAAUGGAGGGGGAACCUACGGUUUCGAACGGAUUGUUGCUUGUAAUCUAAAAAUUUUAACACAUUCUCAAGAAACAUCAACAAAACUUUUAUUAAAAUUUAAAAAGGAGGGUGAAAGAUCAAACGGUAAAGGAGAAGAGUAAAAAAAAAAUAAUGUUAGCUCUUUAAGCCUUAUUAAAUCUAAAGAAAAGAAGAAAAAGUUAAAAAAAAAAGUAGACCCUACUAAUCCUAAAAUUUAGUCAUAAAGAUUAAUGUAUAGAUAUAGUAGUAUAGAUAUUCUAAUCACAAAAAUAUUUAAGUUUCUCUACUUUUGUCACAUUUUAACUUUAUAAUUUCUUUCGUAGGACAUUAAGUGACUAAAUAGAACUCGACGUACCCCUACUCGUCAUGAGAUCAUCUUAGGUGCAAGCAAAAGGAACGUACGUUUCUCCAUUUCUAUCUUUUGACUCUCUAAAUUUAAUCUUUCGUGCAUAACUUCUUGUCUAUUUUUCUGUUGCUUAAGCACAACGCAGAAAAUAAAAAGACAAGUGGUUUAGCCCAUUAUAAAUUUAUAUAGAAGCCUAGUAUCAUUCAAACUCGAGGCUACGUCAUCUGAUAUUAUGUAAAACUAGUGUAGAGACUCGCGCGACGCAGCGGAUAGAUAAUUGAAAUAAAAUUUUAAAGUUUUAAUAAAAUUUAUAUUUACAGCUUAUUGAUGUAUAGAAAGCUAUACCAUAUUAAGUACAACCAAUUUGCAUGACUAAAUUUAAUUUUUAAAAAUUUAAAAUUAUAGUUAGAAACUUAUAUAAUUUUUUUUAAAAUUAUCGAAAUAUAGUAAGAGACAUACAAUUUUAUCAUAUUAUGUAACUUUUGAACAUUCCAUUGUAAAAGAUAAAAAAGAGCCAGCUCUAGUUGUAUCAAGCACUUCUGUCCAAGUAUCAAAACAAAUUGAGAAUAUGAAACACAUAAACAAUAAGUUAACGUAUCUGGCUUAAGAAAAUUUUGGGUGAGAUCUCAGGUUCCAAUCUCCAGUUCUCCACAUCAUACUUUUUAGUUUACGAAAGGGACUUUACCUACAACAGUGCCUACUCAAAAAAGUGGUCAUGGGAUGAAAAUAAAAUAAAAACAUAAAUUAAAAAAAACUAAUAAUUUUUGGAGCACUUCUUCAUCCACACGAGCUUGCUCAUCCAAACCUUAUAUAUCUUCUUAAAUUCAGCUGGUAGUUGCCCCCCUCGUCGAGUCGCUUUUGGAUUUCUAUUGGGAUUUAUGAACAAACACCUCAUCUGCAUUACCAAACUGUGAUAUCUAAACCGAUAUAGCCUUAUUAUCACAUCAACCACAGAAAUUCUAAUUCUAAAAUAAUUUGGAUUUACUAAGAAGUUCCUGCGAUUCUCAAGAAGCGAGCUCCCGCGCAGCGUCCCCUUGAAGAGGUGGCUUAGAACGCCGCUCGCCUCGGCCCAGUUGUGGGUGCACGCGAGCUGCGCGAGGAGGCAGCCGAGGCAGUGGCGGUUCACAGCUAGCUGCUCGGCUUCGCAGGAUGAUAAUUCUCGAAGGAAGCAACGUUCUUUGCAGGCUUUUCUUCUUCUUCUUUUUCUUUUUCUUCUUCAUCGUCCUCAUUAUUUUCAUUAAUGCAAUGAGAGAGAGAGAGAGAGAGAGAUGAGCGUUGUGGUGGGAGAUUAGAUGAUAAUGUUGCAUGAAAAAUAUCAGGUCAUGCAAAAAGUAGAGGGCGGGGGAAUUAAUGGAGGAUGGGAGUUGAUUGGAGUUACAAAACCCACUCAUUAAUGGAGGAGUUACAAAGCCCACUCAUUAGUAGGGGGCGGGAUUAAUGAAGGAGGGGAGUGGACUGAAGUUAUAAAACCCACUCAUUAGUAGAAUAUCAUGUAUGUAAUUAAAUAUUACAUCAUGAAUUAAUUAAUUAAUUUAAUUUCAAGGUGAGUGCUAGAAAAAUCACCUGUGGAAGAGAAAGAGCCAAGAAAGAGCCAAUGAAGAAGGUAGCGCCUCCGUGAUUUAGUAGAUUUUUACUUUGUUUUUCUGUAGUUUAAAAGUUGCACUUAAUUAUCAUAUAAUUUUAUUUUUAUUUUACCGAUAGAAUUUUGACAUAAGUUAGCAAAGUAAAUUUUUUUUAAAAAAAAAUCAUAAAGUGAUAUCCUGCUUAACAAUAAAUUCUUACAAUAAAAUAAAAAUAAUAUUAGUAGAAUAGUUAAGUACUAGUGUAGUGACCCGCGCGAUGCAGCAAAAAAAAAUAUUUUAAUAAAAAUUUACAAAUUAAACAAAUAAAUAUGAAUGUAAAGAAGAAAAAAAAUAUAUAACUAAAUUUGAUUAGACUUAAUAAUAUAAAAAACACAUUAAAAAAUAUUUAAAAUGGAAUCACAACUCAACAAAAAAUAAUAAAAGAAACCGAAAAAAAAAUAAGAAUUAUAUGAGAAGAAAAAUUAUUACAUAGAUAUUAUAAAAAAAAAUUGAAAUAUUGCAAGUGAAAGAUAACAAAUAUUAAAGAGCACACUGAAAAGAUUUUAAUUGACAUUUAACAAAUCAAAUAAACAGAUUCAUCCAUUCAAUUCUUUUUUUGACGCAAAUAAAAUUUUUUUAAAAAAUCAAUAGUGAAGUGACCCCAGCAUUAUAUAUAUAUAUAUAUAUAUAUAUAGACACACACACGCGCGACAUCGACGCGAUAUUUUAAUUAUUAUAUAAUACACCAUGAUAAUAAUCCAAUAUUAUCAGUAUCACAUUAGUGUCGGCUUGUAUUUAAGAGGAAAAAUAUAGAAACCAACAAUAAAACCAACAAUAAAAAGCCCAUUGAAUAAGCUUCCCAGGAGAAAAAAAUCCCCAUAAUAAUAUUGGAAAAAAUAUUCUAAACAUUCAAGACAAAAAAGAAUCAUCUCUCUGAAACAAAAGGAAACUUUUCAAAAAGUUAGAACGAAUUAAAACAAACAUAAAAUGUGCCAAAAAUAAAAAUAAAAAAACAUCCAAAAAUGCUUUCCUAAGCUCCAAGCGAACAACAAAUUAAAUGUGAAAAACGAAAAAAGAAACUACUGCUAGAAGUAGAGCUAUAAGGAAUCGAACCUUCUAUUCUAUUGAGCUCUCAAUUCAACAGGUGGAAGGUCAAUAAUCCUACAAAAUUUUGUUGAAGUACAUGCAUUCAAUUGUGGUUUUAUUGGGAGAUGAGGAGGGAACGGUUUUGGAAGAUGAGGGGUUUUGGAAGUUGGGAGAUGAGAGGGAAUAGUUUUGGUGCAAUUAUAUGCAUUCAAUUGUGAUUUUAUUGGGAGAUAAGGAGGGAACGGUUUUAAAGAUGAGGGGUUUUGGAGGUUGGGAGAUGAAAGAGAGCAGUUUUGAAAGAAGGAGAUAACGCCAUGUCAGCAAGAUAUUGGGGAUUCAUGGAUUAGUAUACACAUAUAACUUUUCAAAUCAUCGUAAAAAGUGAAAAAAAUAUUAAACAACAGUAAGAAAAAUUAAAAUUUACCUAAUUUAAUUCAUCACACUAAUUGGAUCCCAAUUCAUUCAUUUCCAUGAUCCAAAGAUUCUACAAUCUCAUUCUCUCAACGAUAUGUGCGUACAAAUUAAACUUAUAUAUGUUACACCAAAAGUCAAAUCAGGCAUUAUAAUUUUUUAAACUUUAUAAAAUUAUAUCAAACAAAUUAAAUUUUAAUUUGUUUUUUAGAGGAAAAUAUAAUUAGUUACAUAUUUUGUUCAUUUUGAGAUCAUUUUUUAUCCCCGAGUAAAACCUAAUAAGAGAUGUAGUGCCAAUAUGCAUAUGCUGAUCCUUGAAAAUUUUUAGAAUGUAUCUGUAUGUUAUCUUGAUAAAGUGGCAUGCAUCUCCAAUCAAUCAAAGAAUUUUUUUUAAAUUUAUUUGUUCCAUAAUAAUUAUUAAAAAUAUAAUUUUAUUAUAUAUUUAAAAAUAAAUAUAAUUAAUUUAUUAUUAAUGAUGUGAUGUAACUAUGAUACAGUAAACUUUUUUCUGCCAAGCCAUCUAUAACGCCUUUCCGGAUAGAUAACUGCAUGCAAUACAUUCUUUCUAUAUUAUUAGGAAGCAGUUUGCUCGUCCUUUGUUUGGACAGAUGCAAUCAUGAAUGAGGGGGCCCGACAAACCCUCACUCCGUACACAAGAGUUAUUGCAGCUGAUGUGUUGUUUAUUGGAAUCGGACCACGUGUUGCACAUACGGACGAGGUGUGAUAAGAAAAGUCUCAUAAAUUAUUAAUACCGUCCAGGCUCUCUUGAGCGAUUAGUCUCUGUCCAAAAUAAUCGUGAUAGUUACAAAAUACUUGUUUGUUAUAUAUCAUUUGUGUCGCUUAAAUAUUCUAUAGCUGAUAUUCAAAAUUUUUUAAAAAUGCCCUGUAGAUAUUUUAUCAAUAAUUUUCAUCAUCACGCAUACAUCACAUAAAUAAUUUUAAAUUUUAAAUUUAUAAUUAAAAUUCUGAAUUUAAUUUUAAAUUUGAAUUCAUAUUUUGAACUUAAAAUUGUAAGUCAAUUUUAAAUCUAAAUUAAAUUUGAAAUUCAAAUUCAAAUUUAUUUUUUGAAUUUGAAUUUCAAAAUAAAACUUUGAAAUUAAAUAUAAAACUAAUUAAAAAUGUAGAUUCACUACAACAAAAUUAAGUUAUAGAGACACAUGUUUGAGACAUUUCAGUGUAAGUGUCUCAUUUAUUUCAAAACAUUAAAAAUAAUCUAUUUAAAUAUAAAGUCUAAUCCAACAAAAAAAAUAAAAGGUUACUUUACUCAACCCACCCAAUCCAGAGCAUUCGACCCGAUUACAAACAGAAAAGGAAAAAAAAAAAAAUCGAUUAACAUCUCCAUUUCUUCCCUAACUCAAUCCACUGAAAUUCUAGAAGAAAAGCCCUUCAAUUCUCUCUCCUCCUCCUCUGCCACCGCAGCCAACGAGGUAGAGUUCUGACGGUUACUAAAUGUUUAAAUAAGUGUCGGUAAAUUAGCAGCACUCUUUUUAAGUUAUACCGACGCUCUUUAACUGUCACUACAUAUACCUAGCGAUCCCACAUAUAGCAAUAUUUUUUUAAAAUGUCGGUAAUUUAGCAACCAAUAUUUUUUCUGACAUGUACUGCUGAUAUUUAAAAGUGUCGCUAUAUAUCGUUUUUGUUGUAGUGAUAAAAAAUUCACGCCCCUUGUUGGCCUUUAUCUUGUCCACAUGUUGCAGCCGUGGUUUUGGCAUGAAGAAGAUCGACUUCGGCAUUAUUGAGGAAAAAUAGAUUUAAGUGAUUGAUAGCUUAAAGUUAAAAUUGUAGAUGUCAAAUGUGUAGUUUUACUAAUGUUUUAGUCAAUUAUGCUCAAAGGGAACAUAUAUAUAGUUCAAAAAUUUGUUAUGCUUUUAAUCCUAUAUAAUUAAGUAAUAGGGGUAAUUUCAAAUGUUCCGGUCAAAAGGUACAAAAUAUAACAAAUGUCUUUACAAAAUUGUAGAUGUCAUUUUUACCACUAUAAAUUUAUGAAUUAUAGCAAAAAUAUCCAUUUUCCGGUUAACUAAGAUUAUCGGACCAAUUUUUGUAUAUUAUAUAAUGAAUCAAUUAUAAUCUAAUUCUCACAGUCCAUUAGAAAAUAAAGAAGUGAAUAUUUAUAGGAUUUCACAACAGUUCCUAAGUUAGAAGACGACCCAAAAUAUGCAACGUCCGAGUUCGAAGCUGGUAACUAAAGUUAAUUUAAUGUGUUAACUUCAAUUUACCCCGUGAUUAAGUAGAUUUUUUCACUUUUUCCUCCAAUGGUUUAAAAAUUCAUCGACAGAACCUGAUGUCAGUUACGAAAGUGAAUUUUUUUAAAAAAAUUAUAGCAUACUAUGCUCUUUAACAAUAAAUUCUUACGAUGAAAUAAAAUAAAAUUGUAGAAUACUUAAGUAUAACUCUUUAAGCCACGGAAUGACCCUGUUAAAUAUAAAAAUAUUUAAAACACCGUUAUCUAACAGCUUAAGCUUUUAGAGUACAACGAUUGUUUAAACAUUUUUAUAUUUCAGUUUCGUUCAUUUUGCGAUUUUCUUUUCUUUUUUUCCUUUUUAAAGUAAAACGUAGAGACUUGGUGCUUGCCAAUGUGCAUGUGAUGAAAUCAUUAAUUUCUCUCUUGUCCAUUAUUAUUUUGAGAGAAAGGUACACUACCUGCUUUAUUCAUUAAAAAAUAAGUUAAACAAAAGAGUAAGAUAAAAGAAUCUCCGAAGUAGGCCGAAAAAAUAAAAAAAAUAAUUAAAUUAAAAAAAACACAUAACCAAAAAAAAAAGAAAAGGAUAUCCUCGUUUAAACACUCUAUUCUCCUCCUACUGAAGCAUCAAACAUCUGAUCGAGUUGACAGCUAGUAAGAAAUUAGUAUUAGCCAAUCUAAAAAUAACGAUGUUCCUUACUGUUCAGAUAACUUACCAAUUGACUGUCAGUUCAGUCAUUCUAUUUCUAACAUACUGAGCACUAUCCUUUUCCAUGCAUCCACUUAUCUAUCCCAUAAUAAUAACCUCUCUUGUCCAUUGUUGGAUCGGAAAGUUGCAAACAAGAGUGGGACAACUUUUCACUCCGUCCGCAAGAGUUGUUGUCGCUGCGCUUGCACCUCAUUUAUUGUUGUUGUAUGAUUGAAAUUAUUUAGAGCAUGUGUGGCACAACAUGAAUAAGAAUAAGAGUUUAUGCAUAUAUAUAUAUAUAUAUAUAUAUAUAUAUAUAUAAAAUUGAGCUCAUAUGCUUUUAAAAGUACCAAGUUAUUAGUGCUUGUAGAUUUUUGGCCAUUGGAUUAAGAGAUAUGCGGUUAGGAUGAUAUGGGCCCCCUAGGGUUGAGUUGGUGGUUGGUUGCAUAAUAUAAUCUAAUGGUUGAAAAUGAUUCGAGGAGUAGAUCUAACGAUAAAAAACUUAAAAGCACCAAGUGUUUGGUGCUUUUACAAGCACCAUAGCCGUACUCUCUCUCUCUCUCUCUCUCUCUCUCUCUCUAUAUAUAUAUAUAUAGUAGGUCUUAUGUGCUAUUAGGAGCACGGGGGCUCCUGUGCUCCUAAGCCGUUUUCGAUGAUGGAGCUUCCGAAUCGACGAUCGGUUCUGUUAGACUUGAUCUAGCAUAUUUGAAGUAUCUAGGAAAUAAAUUUUGUGACUUUUUUAUAAUAUUUAUCUAACGAUCGAAAGGGUUCAAAAUCAACGGCUGAAAAUAAAAAUCUUACAAAAAGUCGUGAUAUAGCAUUAAAAUUUUCGAUCAAACAUAUUGAUCUUGCUGUAAAUAGUAUAAAGAAUUUUCUAUCAAAAUUUCAUCUAAUUUGAAUACAUCAACUAUUAAAAAUUGUUGAUUUUGAACUCUUUUGAUCGCUAGAAAAAUGAUACAGAAAAAUCACAAAAAUUAUUUUCUAGAUAGUUCAAAUACGCUAGAUCAAGUUUAACGAAGCUGAUCGUCGAUUCGGAAGCUUCAUCAUUGAAAACGGCUUAGGAGCACGGAGGCCCCCGUGCUCCUAAUAGCACACAACACCUGCAAAACGGAAACUCCAUAAGCUGUCCCUGCAAAAGUCCUAAUUUAUGCAGAUAUGUCCCUCUGAUUAACAUCUGUUAGAGAACUGUUUAUUUUUUAACAGUUUUCAUGUGAAAUGACCAUUUUGCCCUCACAAAUAUAUCCCUCCAAAAGCAUCUUCCCCCUCUCUUUCUCUUCCUCUUCCUCUUCGGGCCGCCGGAGCGGAUGGCGGCGACGGCGCGGGUCGAGCUCGCCGGCGACAAAGAAGAGGGAAGAGAAAGAAUGAGAGGAAGAAAAAAAGGGAAGAGGAAGAAGGAGAGGAAGAGGGAGAGGAAGAGGGAAGAGAAAGAUGAAGAGGGAAAGGGUUCNNNNNNNNNNNNNNNNNNNNNNNNNNNNNNNNNNNNNNNNNNNNNNNNNNNNNNNNNNNNNNNNNNNNNNNNNNNNNNNNNNNNNNNNNNNNNNNNNNNNNNNNNNNNNNNNNNNNNNNNNNNNNNNNNNNNNNNNNNNNNNNNNNNNNNNNNNNNNNNNNNNNNNNNNNNNNNNNNNNNNNNNNNNNNNNNNNNNNNNNNNNNNNNNNNNNNNNNNNNNNNNNNNNNNNNNNNNNNNNNNNNNNNNNNNNNNNNNNNNNNNNNNNNNNNNNNNNNNNNNNNNNNNNNNNNNNNNNNNNNNNNNNNNNNNNNNNNNNNNNNNNNNNNNNNNNNNNNNNNNNNNNNNNNNNNNNNNNNNNNNNNNNNNNNNNNNNNNNNNNNNNNNNNNNNNNNNNNNNNNNNNNNNNNNNNNNNNNNNNNNNNNNNNNNNNNNNNNNNNNNNNNNNNNNNNNNNNNNNNNNNNNNNNNNNNNNNNNNNNNNNNNNNNNNNNNNNNNNNNNNNNNNNNNNNNNNNNNNNNNNNNNNNNNNNNNNNNNNNNNNNNNNNNNNNNNNNNNNNNNNNNNNNNNNNNNNNNNNNNNNNNNNNNNNNNNNNNNNNNNNNNNNNNNNNNNNNNNNNNNNNNNNNNNNNNNNNNNNNNNNNNNNNNNNNNNNNNNNNNNNNNNNNNNNNNNNNNNNNNNNGAGCACGGAGGCCUCCGUGCUCCUGAGCCGUUUUCGAUGAUGGAAUUUCCAAAUCGACGAUCGGCUCCGUCAGACUUGAUCUAGCGUAUUUGAAGUUUCUAGAAAAUAAUUUUUGCGAUUUUUUGAUAUCAUUUACCUAGCAAUCGAAAGGAUUUAGAAUCAAUAAUUUUUAACGGCUGAAAAUAAAAAUUCUAUAAAAAAAGGUGAUAUAGCAUUAAAAUUUUCGAUCAGAAAUAUUGAUCUUGUUGUAGAUAGUAUAAAAAAUUUUGUAUCAAAAUUUCAUCCGAUUUGAAUAUUUCUACACCGUUAAACUUGAAAAUGGUAGAUAUCAACUAUUAAAAAUUAUUGAUUUUGAAUCCUUUCGAUCAUUAGGUAAAUGAUAUCAAAAAAUCACAAAAAAUAUUUUCUAGAAACUUCAAAUACCCUAGAUCAAGUCUAACGGAGCCAAUCGUCGAUUCGAAAAUUCCAUCAUCGAAAACGGCUUAGGAGCACGGAGGCCUCCGUGCUCCUAAGAGCACAGCAGCCCUACUCUAUAUAUAUAUAUAGAGCUUCUAUAUUUUUAAAAAUACUAAGUUAUUGGUACAUAGAGAUUUUUGGCCAUUGGAUUAAGGGAUAUAUGGUUAGGAUGAUGUGGGACUCUUAGGAUUGAGUGGGUGGUUAGUUGAAUAAUAUGAUCUAACGGAUGAAAAUAAUCAAAAUGAUUGAUUUAAUAGUAAAAAAUUUACAAGCACUGUUGAUAUUUUUACAAGCAUCAUAGCCGAACUUAUAUAUAUAUAUAUAUAGGCUACUAUACUCUUAUGAGUACGAUUGCCCUCGUACUCAUAAGUUGUUUUCGACGAUAGAGCUUCCGAAUCGACGAUCCANNNNNNNNNNNNNNNNNNNNNNNNNUAUAUAUAUAUAUAUAUAUAUAUAGUCCAGUUAUGGCGCUUGUAAAAGCACCAAGCACUUGGUGCUUUUAAGUUUUUUAUAGUUAGAUCUACUCCUCGGAUCAUUUUCAACCAUUAGAUUAUACUAUUCAACCAACCACCCACUAAAUCCUAGGGGGCCCACAUCAUUCUAACUGUAUAUCUCUUAAUCCAAUUGCUAAAAUUCUAAAAGCACCAAUAACUUGGUACUUUUAAAAGUAUAAGAGCUCAAUUCGCUCUCUCUCUCUCUCUCUCUCUCUCUCUCUCUCUCUCUCUCUCUCUCUCUAUAUAUAUAUAUAGAGUCCGGCUGUUAUACUAUCGGUAGCACGGAGGCCUCCGUGCUACCAAGUUCUUUUCGAUAAUGCGGAAAAGCCCAAGUUCUAAGUUGGCACUAAAGUUAAUUUACUGAGUAAAUUCAAUUUACCCACACCCCCGCCCCCUGUAAUUUAGUGGAGUUUUACUUUGUUCUUAUGUAGUUUAAAGGUUGCAUUUAACUAUUAUGUGAUUUUUUAUUUUUAUUUUAUCGAUAGAACUUGACAUCAGUUAGCAAAUUGAAUUUUUUGUUCUCUUUAACAAUAAGUCUUUACAAGAAAAUAAAAUUAAUACUAUAGAAUAGUUAAGUAUAACUUUUCAAACCGCAUUAUAAGAAAGUGAAAAAAAAUUAAACGGCAGUAAAAAAAAAAAUAAAAAUUACCUAAUUAAAUUCAUCAUACUUACUCGAUCCCGAUUCAUUCGUUUCCCUUCAAAGAUUCUACAAUCUCAUUUUCGCAACGAUAUCUGAGUGCAAAUUAAACAUGUAUUAAACCAAAAUCAAAUCACGGAUUAUAAUUUUUUAAUGCAUAAAUCUUUUAAACUUUACAAAAUUAUAUCAAAUUAAUUAAAUUUUAAUUAAUUUUAAAAUUUAUUAGGGAAAAAGAUACUUAGUUAUCCGUUUUGUUCAUUUUGAGAAAUUGUUUUGGCAUUGACUGUUACUAGUGCAACUGGUAAAGAGGUUUGGUGAUUGGUAUCCGAGGUUUUAAAUUAAAGUUAAGUUUAUUUCUAAAUAAAAUAAACGAAAGAGUAGUAUAUAUGCUACCUAUCUCUUAAAAAAAAAAAAAGAAUUUCUUUUGGCAAAACCUACUGGAUGUAGACCCAAUCAGUACGUGUGCUAACGUUAUUUUUGGCAAAAUCUACUAGAUGUAGACCGAAUGUGUACGUGUGCAAAUGUUAUUUUGUCUCUUAUCAAUCAGUUAGUAAAGUCGCAAUCCAGAGGGGGACAACUUUUAUUGCGGACUGAUGAAAUUUUUUGGACCGGCAUUGGGCAAGCACCGUUCCGCAAAUUUGUGCACCUCCUCGUGAGCAGUCGAGCAAUUUUGCCUGUUCACUUUUUGAAGAAAACAUCAAGACCGAGCAAAGCAAAGAAGAAAAGGAGCGAGCAAGGAAGAAUGAGCUUGGAAAAAAUCGCGAUGUACAUUGGAAAAUAGUGGGGUCCACGAGGCUGCACUUAGCCUCAUGGACCAUGUGGAGUGAGAGGUCCACAGCAGUCCUUGUGCUCCUAACUUUUUAACCACACAUCAAAGUUUGAUGGGUGGUUAGAAUGAAAGAGGGAUGAGAUAUUGGGGAGAAAUUGGAUGUCCCUAUUUUUCUUAUUCUUGAAUUUUUCUUUAAUAUCUCAUCCCUCUCUCAUUCUGAUCAUCCAUCAAACUUGAUGGGUGAUUAAAAAGUUAGGAGCAUAAGGGCUGCUGUGCUCCUAAUAGCACAGUAGCCCUACUAUAUAUAUAUAUAUGAUUUUAUAUAUUAUUUUAUAUUAAUUUAUUUUUAUAUUUAUAAAAAUUAUAAUUAUUUAUGAUAUGACAUAAAUCUAAAAAAAAAUUAAUAUCCUAAUUAUGGAUAUUCUUCAUAAUUAUGAGUAUUUAUACUAAAAGCAUAAAUCUAGAGUCAAAGAAAAAUUAACAGCCGAAUUUUUUUAUCUCGAAUUUUUAAUUGGUGCACGUAUAAUAUUCGUAUAAAUCACGUAUCCGAAUAAUUUACGAAUCUAUUUUUUAGCCGUAUUUUUAACAAAAUUUUAAAAUUAAAAUACAAAUUUUAUCCGUAUUAUAUUCAUACCGAAUUUUUGCCGAAUCCGAAUUAACUACCUAUGUUGGACCACAACAUACAUACCGAUUAUUCAGAUACAACUUUAUUUCGCACACAUAUAUGAGAAUUGGUUAAAUUGCACCACAGGCCUCUAAAGUUAAAAAUUUAGUUUGGGCACUAUAUGCGUUAAUUUCGCUCGGGCAUCAUCUGAAGUAAGCCAUGCCAAACUAGGCCCCGCCCUCAACUACAGGCCACCCCCCCAUCUACAGAACAUUCCAAACUAGGUCCCCUAACAUUUCGUCUUUUUUUUUUAAGUUUAUUUUUUGUUUUAAAUUUUUUGAUAAAUUGAGAUGUUUUAGUGAAAUAUAUUAAGAAUUUUAUCAGAUUUUCCGUGAUUCCAUCAAAUUUAAAAGAUUUGACCAUUUCUAGCAAUUGAAACUUGAAUAAUUUACAAGUAACUAGAAUUGCCCAAAUUAAACAAAUUUAGAAGAUAAAAAGAUGUUAAGAGUUGAGAAGUCGAUUUCAAAGGAGCCUAUGAUUGAGCGCUUCUUCAUACCCUUCUACCGAUUACUGUUUAGAAUCAAUUUUUCAUUAUUCUGAAAAGGCUUUCAGUAUAUAGGAAAUGAUGAAAUGAUCUCCCACAGUCUCAGAUUAUAUAAUAUAGUACUAUAUAGUAUAGAGAGAGAGAGAGAGAGAGAGGAGAGGGUUGGACCUAUAUACUAAUUACAAGUAUCCCAUCAUGUUAUUAGGUUCUUAAAGUCAUUGGAUCUACUUUGAUUAUGAAUAGCGCUAUGGAUUAACACUUAUCUCCAACCUACAACCACCUACCACAUCAUCUCAAACCUCAAAUCUCUCUAAUCCAACGGGCUAAAAACACACAGUAUGAACCUCAUAAUACUUUUACAAGUAUUCUAGGCCUACUCUCUCUCUCUCUGCUCUCUCUCUCUCUUAUAUAUAAAUAUAAUUACGGCUAGAUAUACUAAUUAAUAGUAAAAUGCUCUUCCUUUGCUAUCAAGUUUGUUAACCUUGGAUGUGAAAAAAUUAUGAGGGUCGGACUGAUAUUAGUCGGUUAGAGCUUGAGUGCGUCCCUUAGCGGUGGAUGGUCCCCACUGGGAUGAUAUGAAUUUAAUCCGAAUUGUUAGAAAUAAUGAAAAGAGUUAUGAUACAGAAGGCUAAAAAAUCCGGUCACAAUAAAAUUUUGCUACUAAUAGUAGCCCAGUCUCUCUCUCCUCUCUCUCAUCUCUCUUCUCUCUCUUCUCUCUCUCUUCAUAUAUAUAUAUAUAUAUAUUAUAAUAUAUACAGAGUUGAUGCUAGAAACUAUCGCUAGUAAACCGACGCCGUUUUACUACCGAUUUUGUUUUCGAUGAUAGAGCCUUCCAACAAAUGAAGAAUCAGCUCCGUUUAAAUUGAUCUAAACCAUUUAAACUACUAGAAAUUCAAAGUUCACGCACUUUCGAUAUUUUCUUUUAUCCAUCAGUGAACAGAAAAAGAAUAGUUGAAAAUAAAUACUCUUUAAAAAAUGAUGAUAGGAGUCUUUAAUCAGAUCAAGAGUAUAGAUCUUGUUUUAAAUAGUUUAAAGAAUUUUCUAACAAAAAUUCAAUUGAUUUGGAUAUUUUUACGCCGUUAAACGAGAAAACGCCUCUUAUCAACCAUUAAAAUUACAAAUUUUGAAACUCUUUGAUCAUUAGGCAAAUGAUGCCGAAAAGAUUUGAAAUUUGAUUUCUAAACACUUCAAGUGGUAUAGAUCAUGUUCAACGGAGCCGAUCGUCAAUUUGGAAGUUCUAUCAUCGAAAACAAAUUGGUAGUAAAACGGCUCGUUUACUACCGAUAGUAUUCUAGCUCAACUCUCUCUCUCUCUCUCUCUCUCUCUCUAUAUAUAUAUAUAUAUAUAUAGCUCAAUUAUAGGUGUUCUUAAUUAACGUAAAAGGAACUUAUAAGCAAACUUUAUAGAGAAAAAAAAAUAUUUACAUGCAUGUAAGGAUAACAUUUUGGGGACUUCUUGCUUUAGAUUCAACACUUUCUCUCAUUAUAAAUAUAUAUAUAGAGAGCAAGAUGAGCUGGAAUGCUAUUAAUAGCAAACAGGUAUUGGUGCCACCCAUUUGUUUUUUAUGAUGAAGUCUUCAAAUCGACGAUCGGUGUCGUUGAACAUGAUCUGUACCACUUGAAAUAUUUAGAAAUUAAAUUUUAAAUCUUUUCGACAUCAUUAACCCAGUCAUCGAAGAGUUUCAGAUUUUGUAAUUUCAAUAGUUAAUAUGAGAUGUUUUCUCGUUUAACGGCGUAAAAGUAUUCAAAUCAAUUAAAUUUCUGUUAGAAAAUUUUUUAAACUAUUUAGAACAAAAUCUAUACUCUUAAUCUUGAUUACAAAACUCCUAUCAUCACUUUUUAAUAGGAUAUUCAUUUUCGAGCCGUUCAUUUUUGUGUCCACUUGAUAGACAAGAGAACAAUAUCAAAAAAAUAUAAAAUUUAAUUUCUAAAUACUUCCGAUGGUAUAGAUAAUGUUAAACGAUGCCGAUCGUCGAUUUGGAGGCUCCAGUAUCGAAAACAAAUGGAUGGCAACGAAGUCCAUUUACUACUAAUAGCAUCCUAGCUCAACUUUGUCUCUUUCUAUAUAUAUAUAAAGAGUAAAGCUACUAUACUAUUAGAAGCACAGUAGCCCUUAUACUCCUAAGUUCGUAAUUAUUCAUCAAUUUUGAUGAAUAGUUAGGAUUAAUAUCUCAUUUCUCUCUUAAUUUUUUUUCUUUGAAUUUCUUUUCAAUUUCUUUUUUCUCUCUCACCCUAACUACCCAUCAAAAUUGAUGAAUGGUUGUGAACUUAGAAAUACAAGGCUGCUGUACUCUUAAUAGGACAGUAGCUCUACUAUAUAUAUAUAUAUAUAUAUAUAUAUAUAUAUAUAUAUAGAGAGAGAGAGAGAGAGAGAGAGAGAGAGUCCGGCUACUAUACUAUCGAUAGUACCAAGCCCUUGAUACUAUUGAGUUUUCUACCAUUAGAUCUACCCUUUGAUCAUUUCCACCCGUUAGAUUAUACUAUUAAACCAACCAUCCACUCAACCCUAGGGGACCACUAUCAAUUUAAUCAGGGACCACUAUCAUCCUAACCAGCAUAUCUUUCAUAGCAACGCGAAAACUCAAUUAGUACCAGGUUUGGUUAUGAUAUUAUAAGCUAAUCUAUAACAUAAUUAUAUAUAUAUAUAUAUAUAUAUAUAUAUAUAAUAUAAUAUAUAUAAAAUACUACUAUAUAAUAUAUAUAAAUAUCCGGCUAACUAUAUUAUCAUAGUACAAACACUUCAUACUAUCAAAAUUUAACUGUUAGAUCUAUUUUUUUUUGACUAAUUUCAUCCAUUAAUCAUACUUAUUGAUCAACUACCAAUCAACUCUAGAAGACCAUUAUACAUCUAACUAGCAUAUCUUUCAUCAACCAUUACCAGCGCUGUGAUGAUAUUAAAUAGUAUAGUGGCGAUAAUAUAUAUAUAUAUAUUAUAUAUAUAUUAAAUAUAUAUAUAUAUAAAAAUGAAUGAAAUACCUUCUAACACCUUUGGUCUAUCACUUCUAAACCUUGGAUUAUUUUUUAUUACAAUAACUUGGAUUAAAUAUAUAACCAACUACAUCACACAUACGCACCACCUACCCACCAUCAUCUCAACCUACAUAUUUCAAUCUGAAGGGUAAAAACCCAAAACACCAACCAAUUGAGUGCUUUGAAGAGUAUUCUACUUACUCAUUCCUACUCUCUCUCUCUCUCUCGUCCCAGGCGUUAUUAUAUCCUCUUCUCCUUUCUCUCCUCUCUCUCUACUUCUAUAUAUAUAUAAUAUAUAAUAUAUAUAUACUAUGAUGAGCUAUACUAUCGAGCACGGAUCUUCCCGUGCAUUACAGCCGUUUUCGAGUUGCGACUUCGAAUCGUCGAUCGGCAACUUUCCGUAUUAAACUGAUCUAAGAUAUUAUGAAGUACUAAGAAAAUAAAUUUAUGAUACAUUAUUAUUUACGCUAUGAACGAAGGGCUCAAAAUCAACAGCUGAAAAUAAAAAUCUUACAAAAUGUAAUAAUAUGACAUUAAAAUUUUAAAUCAAAGAUAUUGAUCUUGUUUUAUAUAGUAUAAAGAAUUUUCUAUCAAAAUUUCACGUGAUUUGGAUAUUUCUACACCGUUAAACUUGCAAACGGCUCACUACGGCCAUUGAAAUUUGUUGAUUUUGAGCCCAUUCGAUCACUAGGCAAAUGAUAUCGAAAAAUAAUAAAAUUUAUUUUCUAGGUACUCCAAAUACUCUAGAUCAAAUUUAACGGAGCCGAUCGAUGAUUCGAAAGUCGCAACAUCGAAAACGAGCUGGAAGCACGGAAGGCUCCGUGCAUAUAUAUAUAUAUAUAUAUAUAUAUAUAUAUUGUCCGGCUAUGAUGCUUUUAAAAGAAUCAAGCACUUAUGCUUGCUUGUAAGUUUUCCAUCGUUAGAUUUACCUUUUUGACCAUUUUUACCUAUUAAAUCAUACUAUUCAACCAACCACCUACUCAACCCUAGGAGACUAAUAUCAUUCUAACCGCACUUCUCUUAAUCCAAGGACCGAAAACCUAUAAGCACCAACGAUUUGAUAUUUUUAAAAGUAUAGGAGCUCAAUUAUUUGUAUAUUAGGAAUGUUGUGCUCCAAGAAGCAUAGAGGCCUCCGUACUCUUAAAUUAUUUUCGAUGAUGGAAUUUUCAAAUCGAUAAUCAGCUCCGUUAGACUUGAUAUAGUAUAUUUGAAUUAUGUAUAAAAUAAAUUUUAUAUUUUUUUGAUAAUUUUUGUAGUAAUCGAAAGCGUUCAAAAUCAAUGGUUGAAAAAAACCGUAUAAAAAAUAAUGAUAUAAAGAUCGUAUAUCAUUAUUAGGAUAAUGUGGGCCCGGCACGGCACAGUUAGGAUAAUGUGGAACAUAAUUAGGGGUGUAAUGUGGGCCAUGCCGGGCCGGCACGGCCAACAUUACUCUGGCCGAAACGGGCCAGGAGUAGGCUGAGCCCGGCUCGGAUUUACAUCUAAGUUGUGCCGUGUCGGGCCGGAUGAACCAACCGUCCGGCCCAGCACGACCCCCAGGCCCGGAAGGUCCGGGCCGUGCUGGGCCAGGUCGUGCCGGGCUUUGGGUCCGCCAUUUAAAAUUUUUAUUUGUAAUUUUUUUCAAAAAUAUAAAAUUUUAAAUUAUGAUUAAUUAAGUAUUUCUAUUUAAAUUUAUAUUGUGAUUAAAAAUUUUUAAAUUUCUAAAUAUUUUAAUUUUUCUAAAAAAUUAAUAAAUUAUUAUUUAUUAUUUUAAAUAUAAUUAAUGGAAUUUGCUCCAUCGAACCAACAUAAACAUGGUGCUACUACUAUGUGGGCUAAGAGCCAUGUCGAUCCGCAUAAUAUUUUUUUUACAAAAAUAUUUUUAAUAGAAUAAAAGUUUUUUACUAAAUAUUUUUUAUUUAUAUAAAUAUCAAUGACUAUUUAUGAGUCCGGCUGGGAUACUAUUGAUAGCACCAAGGGUUUAGUAAUAUCGAGUUUUCCACCGUUAGAUUUAACUAUUUGAUCAACUGCAUAUUUUUCAAUAAGGGAUAAAAAACUAAUAGCACCAAGCUAUACAUUGAUAGCAUUCCAGCCUAGUUCGACCAUUUAUAUAUAUAUCUUUUUAUAUUUAUUCUUCAUUAUACAUUGGCUUCAUAGUACUAUCGUAUAACACAACCCAAUUAUGUGGCUAGGUCGAGUUACAGCAAACCCUUAUUUCCACCCUAGAAUACGGGCAUACACAAUUGCAUUGCAUAAGGAGACACAUGUUCGAUCCAUUUUGUAAUACUAAUUAAUAAGCAACAGUAGAUCACAAUAACUGUAGAUCUUCAAACUAGCUUACAUAGAACAUACCGAAACAUAACAGAAACCACAAGGUCGAAGAAAGCAGCUGAACAGUUGGAUGCCUACUUGCAUCCUUAUUUUAUAACUAAGCAUAUAUAUAUGAUAGCAAACUGCAUGCAGUGCGUUGCUAAUCAUCAUCACUUCCGAUCGACCUACACUGAGCUUCGACUUUCAGAAACCAUUUUAAUGGCUUCGACAUUGGCCCCAGAUUGUAGAGUGGGAUAGAGAGGAUCCAUGGCGAUUCCACAUAAUCCAAAUGACGAUGACACAUCUCUUGCCAUGCGGAUGUAUCCGCCCUCACCCCAUCUGGCACCCCAUGAGUUCCUUACUAGCCAAAAUUUUUUUCCGCUGCUAUCCUGCCCGUAACCUAUAAUGGCGAUGGCAUGAUUGAGUCUAGUUCCACAAGGUCCGUUAAACACACCGCCCUUGUAAUGUUGAAAGUUUCCACUGGCAUCGAGAGCAGCAGUAAUUGGUUGAUUCGACACAGCGUACAUCAUGCUGCUUUCGUUGUUCCUCCGCACACGUGCAUAACUAGUAAUAUAGGCUGAAUUGGGCACGCCAUUGGUCUUGCAGGGGCCUUUGGAUGCUUUGUAAGGGUAGAUAGCUGCCGAUGCCACGCCCUUGUUAGAUAUGAUGAAUUCGAAGGCCCUGAACUCCCAGCCGCCUUUGCACCCGUAGCCUUUAGCACAAUCGAGAACUUGCUGCUCCGAUAAAUAUACUAAGUUCCCUCUUUUGAUCUUGUAGAUUGAUUCUACCGUCGCAAUUGCAGCGAAUGCCCAGCAAGAACCUGUGCCGAAACAAAGAUUAAAUCGUGUUAGCAUAACUAGUGUAAGCAAAGUUACAUAUAUAUGUAGGUUGCCAUGAUAAAAGAAAACAUUCAAACUAAUUACCUUAUUAGAUGUUAUUUGCAAGUACUGAGCUGCUUUUAACUUGUUUUCAACACUUGUCAUGCAUAGGGAUGUCCCGUUCUUUUUGACUAAAAUGUAUUUUGCUUACUUUAAUAAUAUAAUUAUUGUAAUAACUUAAUUAAUAAUAUGAAAUUCAAUAAUAGUCCUAACAUCCAGAUGAAUUGAAUCAAGUCGAAGUCUAUGAAUGCUAUGAUUAAGUCUUUAAGUGUGUUGGAUACAUUCUUUUUAUCACCACGUAUUUCUGUAAUAGUUGAUUAUCACUUACCAUCCACAUUCGAUAGAUAGGAUGAUUUUUUAUUAACUAGAUUCAAUAUUUCGAUAAUUUCCUUGUAUGAAUACUGAUAACAUGUCCUAAUGAAUGUUUAGACACUUUUGAUCGGCCAAAUAAUGGACUUUGUUGGGUUUUAGUGUGUGGAAAUUUGGUCCUGUAGUCUAAAAACGGCAGAAGGCAUAUUUGGUGAGAUUUGAUCAAAACAACAUGUUUAAAGUUAACUAAAAGAAUAGGUAUUUGUUCCUAGCUGAAGAAAUGAAGUUGCUUUGACAAUUUAUAUAAUCCACAUUAAUCCUUACCACAGCGGCCUUGGUUCUUGACACUUGUUACGGCACCGUAGUUUCUCCAAUCAAUACUUUGAGGCACCGCGGAGAUGUCUACGUCAUCAAACGACACCACUUGCUCUCCCUCGAUAUUUAGUGGGCGAGAUACACCACCAGUAUAUUGAGCAACAAAUUCGUUAUUUGUCAUAUCGGUAAACUGAUUGAUACCGAGAGUGUACGAAUUUCCGUUGCGAUUGUUAAAGUUUUCGAUAUGGUUCACGUUGUUCUUGAAAAUCUGAAACCGGAGCAUCUUCUCGUCGUUGUCCUUGUAAACUCGGCCGUACUCCGCCACCCAUUUUUCAAACCGCUUCAUCAUGGGAUCACUUGGUUCGUCACAAGAAGCUGCCGACGGCAAUGCCCGCAUCACACAGAGAAACAAGAAAAGAAACACGAGUUGAACUUUGGAAGCCAUGCUUAUGUAGCACUAAAUAUCUACUAUAUGUAUGACGAAAUUAGAGAUCGAGCUAAAAGAGCUUUUGUUGCUGAGAAUAUGGUCUCAAGAUCGAGUUUAUAUAGAAGUUCAAGCCUUCGAAUGUACGGGGGAGAAUUAAUGGGUGGGGUCCCGAAUUAAGUUACAUGUACUAUAUGAUUUAACUCCGCCAUCCAUUCUUUAUAUGAUUUAACUCCAACCAAGUUACAUCUACUCGCAUGCUUCAAUACCCAAAUAGGUCCUAAUUAAGUUACAAGACAAUCCAAAAUAAGGAAAGCCCAAGUUCUAAGUUGGCACUAAAGUUAAUUUACUGAGUAAAAUUCAAUUUACCCACACCACCACCCCCUGUAAUUUAGUGGAGUUUUACUUUGUUCUUAUGUAGUUUAAAAUAGAAGAAUUUCUUUUGACAAAAUCUACGAGAUGUAGACCCAAUGUGUGUACGUGUGCAAACGUUAUUUUGUCUCUUAUCAAUUCUUAGUAAGGUCGCAAUGGAGAGGGGGACAACUUUUAGGGGCCGUUUGGUUGGAUGUAGUUACAAAAAUGGUGUAGUUUGAAGUACAUGCAAUUGUAAAUGUUCCAGUUUUAACUACACCUAGUCUGUUUGAUUUUAUGCAGUUGCAACUGUUAUAGUUAUAUUUCUUCUGUUUGGUAGUGUGCAGUUGAGAUUUAAAUUUAUAAAUUCUAUCAAAUUUUAGAUAGAAAUGUGAGAUUAUCUCUUUUGAGCAUAACGUAAUCAUAUUUUAAAUAUUAAUUAAAACUUUUAUAUCUAUAUAUAAUUUAUAAAUUAUAAAAUUGUAUAUGAAUUUAAUAAAUAUUAAAUGUAAAUAUAUUAUAAAUUUGUUCAAAAUAAAAAUUAAGAUAUUAUUAAACUAACAAACUGAAAAAUAAGAAGCGCAUGAAAAAAAAUUUAUUUUACCCUAACAGAUAUUACUAAAUCAUAUCAGAUUUCAUGAAUAUGUAUUUUUGAAAAAAAAUAAAAAAAGAAGUGUAUGAAAAAAAAUCACAUUUUGUUUAUUUUUUUAAUAGGUGAGUUGACUCUGGCUCAACCGCUGUAGUUGGUACUACAGCCAAUUUGGCUGCAUUACCAACUGUUAUAGUUGGGCCUUCUCAUGCAGAUCAACUACAGUAGUUGAGUCUAACUACACCAAACCAAACAAAAAAUUAAUAGAUGCAUGUAUUUUCAACUGCAAUGCAAUUGAAAAUACAUGCAACCAAACAGCCAAGUUCGAGCUAAGUUUAUUUUUAAAUGAAAUAAACGGAGCAAUACCCAUCUCUUAAAAAAAAGAAUUUUUUUUGGCAAAACCUGCGAGAUGUAGACCCAAUUGCCCAACGAGAAUAGGACUGAUAAAGACUUGCAUGAAUGAAAAAAGUUAUAUUUAAAUUUGAAAAGUACUAUUGUCCAGAAUAUUUUUUUUUAUAAAAAAAAAUAGCACACUAUCCGCUUCAUUUACUAAGGAAUUGAAUUAGACUGUAAUGAUGAAGCAACCGAGGCCUCGAGAGAGAUAGGGAAAAAAAAAAAAAUCUAAUGUUCAGAAUAGUUAUUUAGCAUUAUGAAAGAUUUUUUUAAAAAAAAUUUAUGAAUGCCACGCUUAUGUAUUAAUUAAAAUAUCACAAUGCCCUCAUAAAUUAAUAAUAUCAUUCAUGCUCUUUUAAAUGGUCAUAAAUAUUAUAGUAAAUAGCUCCCGUGAUUAGUCUCUAUCGAAAAAUCUUGUCAUUAAUUGUUAUAAAAUAUUUAUUUUUUCACCAUUAGUAUAAUAACCCGUGCGAUGUUAUAAAUAAAUAGUGCAAUGAGAGAGAGAUGAGCGUGGUGGUGGAAGAUUAGAUGAUAAUGUUGCAUGAAAAAUAAUAGGUCAUGCAAAAGAGAGAGGGCGGAGGGAUUAAUGAAGGAGGGGAGUUGAUUGCAAUUACAAAAUACACUCAUUAUUGGAGGAGUUAUAAAGCCCAUUGAUUAGUAGGGGGCGGGAUUAAUGUAGGCCUAGAGGGGAGUGAACUGGAAUUAUAAAGCCCACUCAUUAGUAGAAUAUAAUGUAUGUAAUUAAAUAUUACAUAAUAAAUUAAUUAAUUAAUUUAAUCUCGAGUGAGUGCUAGAAAAAUCACCAUUGGAAGAGAAAAAGCCAAGAAAAAGACAAUGAAGAAGGUAGCGCCAUGUUGGAUAAGAAAUCGAGGUUUAAUAUAGAGUUAUAGAAGAUUAUAGAUUAUAGAUAAUAUGACAUAAUUAUUGUUCUUUAAAAACUGAAAAAUGAUACGGAGCAUGAGGUACUAAGUUUAAAUCUUAUCAAUCUAGUUUCAUUUAAUUUCUUUUCAUCUAACUUAAGUUAAUUCAAGUCCAUAUUUUAAGUCUAUUAAAACAUCUCGAGCCUAAACUCAAGGAAGAGUGUUGAUUUUAAGGGCGUGUUUGGUUCGAAGUUGGAGUCGGAAUCGGAAUCGGAAUCAAAAUAAGUUGGAAUCGGAAUCGGAAUGACUCAUUACCUAAUUCUGUUUGGUUCAUCACCUGAAUCGGAAUCGGAAUAAAUCAUUCCUAUUGUCGGUGUUUGGUUCAGGUGGAUAUAAAAAACGUAAUCAAAUUAAUAUACUAACAUUAUCUUUAUAAUAUAUUAAUUUAAAUUCAAAUUAAAUAUUAAAUAUUAAAAAUUUACAUCAAAAUUUUGAAAUAAUGUCAAAAUUUUAAAUCUAUUUUUUUUAAAAAAAAUUAAACUUUGAAGUUGAGUGGAUAAUUCAAAAUGUGAAACUAAAUUUUGAUUUAUUCAAAUUCAAACUAAAAUUACAAUUUAAAUUUUAAUUUGAAUCUAUAAAUUUAAUUUAAGUUUGAAAUAAAAUUUGAAUAAAACUUUAUAUAAAUUAAAAUUUAAUUUAAAUUCAAAUUCAUAAGUUAGAUUCGAAAUACUUGAUUAAAUUUUAAUUUUUAAUUUAAGUUCAAAUUAAAAUUUAAAAUUAUAUAUUUAAUUUUUAAAUUUUAACUUAUAUUUUAAUUAAAAAAGUUGAAAAAAUAAAUUUAAUCCGAAUAAAUAUUCAUUCCGUCCUGAUUCAACUUCCAAUCCGGCAUUCUAGGCCGGAUUGAAAAAUGAGGUGAUUGGGGGAUUCCCAUUCCACUCGGGAAUGGGAAUCGGAAUGAGACUCCCGCGUACCAAACACCCACAAACGGAUUCAUCCAUUCCGAUUCCGAUUUUAGGGUGAAAAAGAAGCGAACCAAACACGCCCUAAAUAUUAAAAAUAUUGCUUUUUAAUAACUUAAGUUUUUAGAGAUAAAUAUUUCAUUUUUUUUUAUAGAUUUUAUUUUUUUUCCAUAUUAUAGUGAACGAUUAUACUUAAUUACCAUUAGAAAAUAAAGAAGUGUACCUUAAUUUAUAUGAUUUUACUCCAACCACUUUUCAUCUACUAGCAUGCUCCAGUUCCCAAAUGUGUCCUAAAUUAGAAGACAAUCCAAAAUAUGAAGAGCCCGGGUUAGAAGUUGGCAACUAAAGUUAAUUUAAUGCGUAAACUUCAAUUUACUCUCCAUGAUUUAGUAGAUUUUUACUUUGUUUUUUUGUAGUUCAAAAGUUGCACUUAAUUAUCAUAUAAUUUUAUUUUUAUUUUACCAAUGGAAUGACAUAAGUUAGGAAAGUAAAUUUAUUUAUAAAAAAAAAAUCAUAAAGUGAUAUCCUGGUUAACAAUAAGGGCAUGUUUGGUUCGUACAUUUUGGAUCCGAAAUGGGAAUCGGUUUGAUCAAAUCCUGCUAAUUUUGUUUGGUUUACAGGAAUCGGUUUGGGACUCCCAUUCCGGAUCGAAAUGGGAAUGGUCCAUUAGCUUACAAAUUAAUUCCGGUCUCCAGGCCCGGAUUGAAGUUUCAAUUCCAAGCCCAUACUCACCUCUUCCUCAGACCCAGCCUAACGUUUCUCCAUCUUAUCCAUUCUUUCUCUCCAUAUACCAAUCUUUUUUCUCUUUUGUCAUCAUUUAAAAAAACGUGAUAUAUUAUUUUUUAUUACAAUUUUAUUCAAAAAAAUUUAUGCAUUUUUUUGUAAUUUUUUGCAUAAAAAUUUUUAAAAUAAAUUCCUUUUUUUUGGCAUAGCUCUGACUUGAGAAUAGUAUUAAUUUUUUUUUUUUAUAAAUUUUAGAUAGUUUUAUAAAAUUAUAUUUAAAAGUAAAGUUAGAAUUAUGUUAUUCUAUUAUUUUUUACUUUGUAUGAACCAAAUAGUAAAAUAGGAAUAAUUCAUUCCAAUUUUCAAAUCAGAAAUGAACCAAACGUCUUGGAGGAGUAGGGCAAUCCAAUUGUCAUUUCAAUUCAUUCUCAUUCCAUUAUUCAUUCCAAUUUUACUCUUGAACCAAACAAGCCUUAAAUUCUUAUAAUAAAAUAAAAAUUAUAUUAGUAGAAUAGUUAAGUAUGUUUAACUUUUCAAAUCAUGUAAAAAGUGAAUUAAAAAAUAUUAAACAACAGUACGAAAAAUUAAAUUUACCUAAUUUAAUUCAUCACGCUAACUCGAUCCCAAUUCAUUCAUUUCCUUGAUCCAAAGAUUCUACAAUCUCAUUCUCUCAACCUUGUCGGAGUGCAAAUUAAAUAUAUAUAUGGUACAUCAAAAGUCAAAUCAUGCAUUAUAAUUUUUUAAUGUAUAAAUUUUUUUAAACUUUAUAAAAUUAUAUCAAACAAAUUAAAUUUUAAUUUUAAAAUUUUUUAGAGGAAAAUAUAAUUAGUUACACAUUUACUUCAUUUUGAUAUCUUUUUUUAUCCCCGAGUAAAACUUAGUAAGAGAUGUAGUGCCAACAUGCAUAUGCUGAUCCUUGAAACUUUUUAGAAUGUAUCCGUUAUCUUGAUAGAGUGGCAUCUCCAAUCAAUCAAAGAAUUUUUUUUAAAAUUUAUUCGUUCCAUAAUAAUUAUAAAAGGUAUAAUUUUAUUAUAUAUUUAAAAAUAAUUAUAAUUAAUUUAUUAUUAAUAAUAUGAUAUUAUUAUUAAUGAUGUGAUGUAAGUACGGUACUAGACUUUUUUCUGCUAAGCCAGCUAUAAUGACUUUCAGGACGGAUAAAUGCAGUCCAUUAUAUUUCUAUACUAUUUUAGGAAGCAUUUUGCUCGUCCUUUGUUUGGACAGAUGCAAUCAUGAAUGAGAGGGCCCGACAAACCUUCACUCCGUACACAAGAGUUAUUGCAGCUGAUGUGUUGUUUAUUGGAAGCGGACCACGUGUUGCACGUACGGAAGAGGGAGUGAUAAGAAAAAUCUCAUAAAUUAUUAAUACCGUCCAGGCUCUCUUGAGCUAUUAGGGUGUGUUUGGUUGCACGUAAAAUUAGAAAAAAAAUUAAUUUAUUAAGAAAAAAAAAUUUUGGUGGAAAAAAAAUUUUACGCCUUUAGUUAUAUAAGGAAAGAAAAAUAUUUUUCAUGACUUUGUUUUAUUGAAAAAAAAAAAAAAUAAAAAUUAUUAUAUAAUUUUUAUUUAUAUUAUUAAAUAUUAUUUAUAAUUUUAUUUAUAGAUUAAAUAUAUUUAAAAUUAUAAUAAUUAUAUACAUGAUAUCUAUAUAGAUUAAUAUAUUUAUGAGAUAUUAAUAUAUAUAUAAUUAUAAAUAUAUUAUAUAUGGUUGUUUUGGGUUGAAAGACAUAAAAAAAGAAAGAGUAAAUAAAAAACGUUAUAUAUUCAUUUUAUAUGUAUAUAUAUUAUUAUUCAUAAUACGCCAUCAAUUAUUAAUACUAUAUAAUUUUAAAAUUAUUAAUAAGUAAUAAUAAUAUAAUAGCAUAAUGUAUAUUAUUAGUAUAAAAUAAAUCACUAUAUUAUUUAAUAAAUAAUAUUUAUAAACUGUUGAUAUUAUUAUAGUAUAUAUAUAUAUAAAUAAUAUAUAUUAAAUAUUAUAUAUAUAUAAGAAGAGAGAGAGUCACGAGGCCGGGUCCUCGUGGACUCUCUUCACACGGUCACGAGGGAGCAGUUCACUCGUUGGACCGCAUGUUAAUAGCCUGUGCGCGCCCGGAUUUUUCAACCAGUGGUUUUGUCCGGCCGAGCGGAAAACUAAAAUAGCUUCGUUUUUUAAGGAAAUCUGUAAACAAAUUUGCCUGUAAAGAUCUUUUACAGACAGCCAAAGAUAGGAAAAAAGUUUCAACGAAAAAUUAUUUUUCAGAGACUGCAUUUACGAGGUCCUAACGGCCCUUAGUCUCUAUCAAAAUAAUCGUGAUAGUUACAAAAGCACUUAAUUUUACCAUUGGCCUGAGAUUAAUCAUUUGCUGUUCGCUUAAUAUUCUAUAGCUGAUAUUUCAAAUUUUUUGAAAAUGCCUGUAGUUAUUUUAUCAAUAAUUUUCAUCAUUCACGAAUUACACCACCUAAGAUAAUUUAAAAUUUAAAAUUUAAAUUAAAAUUCUAAAAUAUUAAAUUUAAAUUUUAAAUUCUGAAGUUCAAAUUGGUGUGAAGGAAAAUUUGUUCCAAGACAAACUUCUUUUAAUUCUACAAUUAAAUUUGAAAUUCAAAUUAUGUAUUUUGAAUUUGAAUUUCAAAUAAAACUUGGAAAUUAAUAUAAAUAUUGAAUUAAAAAAAUCGAAAUAUUGAAAGUUAAUUAGCUAUAAUAAUUUCUUAUAUUUUGGCAUUCAAGGACGAUUUGAGUUAUAUUCGAAAGCCAAAAAUCAAAUUUUUAAAUUUUAAAUUAGUAAAUUUACUAAUUUAUAAAUUAGAUAUAACUAUUAUUAAUAUUAAAAUUCAAAAUGUUAUAUAUUGUAAAUUUUUAGUGAUGAUGGAGGGCUCAAGAUCUGGUAGUUUAAAUGUAAAACUUGAAAUUAGAAAAAUUCUAUAUUAAAUUUUUCGGAAAUAUUUAGUCAGAUAAAGUUCGGAAUUAUUUUACAACUAUGACUAGUCAGCAGCUCUGGAACUAAGAUUAGGAUAACACUCCGUGACGUGAGAUAAAAUAAGAAAUAUUUAUGAUAUAACUCAUUCUAUUGGAAGAGCAUAUAUGAUAUUUUAAUAUUUUUACAAGUAUCUGCGGUAGUUUAAGAUUUUGAGGAGUAGUUAUGAAACUGUCCCCGCAUUUCAAAAUUUGGAAAAUUGAUCUCCCUCACUUGCGGAUUUCAUGUAGUACAAUUUUUAGACAGUGUUCUUAAUGCAAGUAACAAAUUAUAAGCAACUUUAAAGAAAAAAAAGUUACCUAUUUUUAGGGAUCACAUUUCGAAAAAUCUGAAGAUGAGUUUUUAGCUGUCCAGAUUUCACACUUUGAUAAAAAAUAUGAUCUGAAUAAUCAUAAAAGGGGAUAGCUUACGCUUACCUAUUUUUAAUAUGCACAAGACAUCGACUAUAAAUAUGUGUUGCUAAAAGUAAAAUUUACUUUUGUCCAAAUAAGUGAAAGAUGGAAUUAUUAAAUUAAGGCCAAUUUGCAUAAAAAAUUCACUAAUUUUGGGUUUUUGCAAAAGUGUGACUUUUUUCGUUUUUGUAGAUUCGGUCUGAAUUUUCAGCAAACUGAUCAAAAUACUUUUAUUAUUUUUUCUCUCUCCUCUUUCUCUCUCCUCUUUUUUUCUCUCGUUUAUUUUUUUUUCUCUCGUCGAAGAAAGCAGCGGAGGCAGAGGCGGAGGCUGAAACCCCCUGCCACGCCUUUCACCCUCAUGCUCUCGCCCUUGCCUUUGGUUUUUCUCUUUUUUGUGAUUGUAUCAGCUUUUGCUGAGAAUACGAGUUUAUAGUAAAAAUUCGAUUCGACGCUUCCGUUGUGUAAUCCCAACAAUCGGCUCCGAAUCCACAGCAAUCGGUAUCGAAGCGGGUUGCGAAUUCUCAAAAUCCGGUACCAAGACGAUUACCGAAUUCCCAAUAUAUAUAUAUAUAUAUAUAUAUAUGAGUCCGGCUACUGUACUAUUGAUAGUACCAAGCCUUUGGUACUAUUGAGUUUUCUACCGUUAGAUGUACUCUUUGAUCAUUUCCACCCGUUAGAUUAUACUAUUAAGCCAACCACCCACUCAACCUCAGGGGACCACUAUCAACCUAACCGCACAUCCUUUCAUCCAACGGCCAAAAACUCAAUAGUACCAAGGGCUUGGUACUAUUGAUAGUAUAGUAGCAUAAUUCUAUAUAUAUAUAUGAAUUAGCCUGAAAUACUAUUAAUAGUAAAACGCUCUAUUUGCUAUCAAGUUUUUAACCCUUGGAUGAAAAAUUGUAAGGUCAGGAUGAUAUUAGUCAGUUAUAGUUGAGUGGUCCCCCUAGGGUUGAGUGGUCUCUAUUGGGUUAUAGUAUUUAAUCCAAUUGUUAGAAAUAAUGAAAAGAGUUGAUCCAAAAGCUAAAAAACUGGUAGCAAUAAUAGGAUUUUGCUACUAAUAGUAGCCCAGUCCAAACUAUAUAUAUAUAUAUAUUAAAACACCUCUCUUUAAUUACUUAAGUUUCUAUAUAAAAAUAAUUGUUUCACAUCCUUUCAUAAAUUUAACUUUUUUCAUAUUAUAAUAAAUUGAUUAUAAUAUAAUUCCUACUGUUCAAUUAGAAAAUAAUGAAGUAUAUCUUUAUAUGAUUUAACUCCAACCAAGUUUCAACUACUAGCAUGCUUCAAUACCCAAAUAGGUCCUAAGUUACAAGACAAUCCAACAUAAGGAAAGCCCAAGUUCUAAGUUGGCACUAAAGCUUAUUUACUGAGUAAAAUUCGAUUUACCCACACCCCCUACCCCUGUAAUUUAGUGGAGUUUCACUUUGUUCUUAUGUAGUUUAAAGGUUGCAUUUAACCAUCAUGUGAUUUUUUAUUUUUAUUUUAUCAAUAGAACUUGACAUCAGUUAGCAAAUUGAAUUUUUUGUUCUGUUUAACACUAAGUCUUUACAAGAAAAUAAAAUUAAUAUUAUAGGAUAGUUAAGUAUAACUUUUCAAACCGCAUAAUAACAAAGUGAAAAAAAAUAUUAAACAGCAGUAAAAAAAAUUAAAAAUUACCUAAUUAAAUUCAUCAUACUUACUCGAUCCCGAUUCAUGCAUUUGUUUCCCUUCAAAGAUUCUACAAUCUCAUUUUCUCAACGAUAUCUGAGUGCAAAUUAAACAUGUAUUAAACCAAAAAUCAAAUCACGGAUUAUAAUUUUUUAAUGCAUAAAUCUUUUAAAUUUUAUAAGAUUAUAUCAAAUUAAUUAAAUUUUAAUUAAUUUUCAAAUUGUUUAGGGGAAAAGAUAAUUAGUUAUUCGUUUUGUUCAUUUUGAGAAUUUCUUUUGGCACCGACUAUUACUAGUGCAAGUAAUAAAGAGAUUGGUGGUUGGUAUUCGAAAUUCUAAAUUCGAACUAAAUUUAUUUUUAAAUAAAAUAAACAAAUCGAGUAGCAUGCUACCUACCCAUCUCUUAAAAAAACAGAAUUUCUUUUGGCAAAACCUACCAAAUGUAGACCCAAUGUGUGCGUGUGCAAACGUUAUUUUUGGCAAAACCGACUAGAUGUAGACCCAAUGUGUAAUGUGUACGUGUGCAAACGUUAUUUUUGGCAAAAUCAACUAGAUGUAGACCCAAUGUGUACGUGUGCAAACGUUAUUUUGUCUCUUAUCAAUAGUUAGUAAAGUCGCAAUCGAGAGGGGGACAACUUUUAUUGCAGCUGAUGUGUUGUUAUUCAAAUUAUGGGAGCAGUUGUUGCCCAACGGGAAUAUAAAGGACUGAUAAGAGACGUGCAGGAAUUAAAACAAGUUAUAUUUAAAUUUAAAAAAUACUAUUGUUCAGGAUAGUUGUUUAGCAUUAUGAAAGUUUUUUUAAAAAAAAUUUAAGAACGCCACGCUUAUGUAUUAAAAUAUCACAAUGCCCUUGUAAAUUAAUAAUAUCAUUCGUGCUCUUUUAAAUGGUCAUAAAUAUUAUAGUAAAUAGCUCCAGUGAUUAGUUUCUAUUGAAAAAUCUCGUCAUUAAUUGUUAUAAAAUAUUUAGUUUUUUACCAUUACGUACUAUUAGUAUAGUAACCCGUGCGAUGUGAUUAACAGAUAAUUAAAGGAAAAAUAAAAAACGGCGACAAAGAAAGAGUAAACGACAAUGGAAGAAGUGACGGUGAGGAGAUUCAUCCCGCUGAUAAACGAAGAUAAAAGUUGAAGAAAGAGGAAAAGAUAUAGUUUGGUCUAAUGCAGAGUUGUGAUCCAGUUUGGUUCAUGCAAAAAAAAAAAAUCCGAUUCGGUUCAAGCAAAAAAAAAAGAAAAGCUUGAGACGGUUUGGGGUAAAACCCACACUCUAUAGUGAUUGAUUCAGUUUAAAUAUAAAAAAAAGAAAAAAAUUGGUUCAAAGAUGGAAACAUGUGGAGCAGUUGGGCUGGUUUAGCCCAAUGGAACAGGUUGAUCUAAUUCGUUUCAAGUAAAGAAAGAGAGAAAUCAGACUCGUUCCACGUACGUAAAGAAAGAGAAAAAUAUGUGAAAAACUUAAGCCGGUUUUCAGAGGAGUCUACACUCAACAAUGAUCAGUUCGGUUCAAGUAAAGAAAAAAAAAAUCCGAUUAGAUUCAAGAAAAAUAAGGAACAAAAAAUGGAGAAGUUGAAUAGGUUCUUGAUGAAGCUCACACUUAAUAAUGAAAGGAAUGUUAUUAUGUGGCAAAACUAGAAAGCAUAACGUAUAGGGAUAAAUUGAUAUCGUUAAUGUUGCUUAAAUUUUCUAUUGCUGAUAUUCAAAGUUUUCUACAUCAUUAAUGUCGCUUAAAUGGUAUUCAAAAUUUUCUAUAGCGUAUUUUCCAAAUUUAUUAGAACUAAGAUUAGGAUAAUGCUAUUUGACAUGAGAUAACAUGAGAGAUAUUUAUGAUAUUUUUAGAAGUAUUUGUGAUAGUAAAAGAUUUUGAGGAGUAGCUAUGAAGCGGUCCCUAAAAAUCUCUGCAGUUCGAGCUCUCACAACCUCGUUUCAAAAUUUGGAAGAUUUUAUGUAGUACAAUUUUUAGACGGUGUUCUUAAUUAAGGGAAGAAACUUAUAAGCAACUUCAAAGGAAAAAAAGUUAUAUACUCGAUCGCGUAUAAUUUGGAAAUUUGAAUAUGAGUUUUGUCCUUUUUUUUUGAGAGAGAUCUAGAAAGGUAGCAUAAUACUCGCUUUGUUUAUUUCAUUUAUAAAUAAACUUAGCUGAAAAUGUGAAUCAAAUAGAAUUCGAAUUUGGAUCUCGAGUACCAAGCACCAAAUCCUUUGCCACUUGCUCUAGAGACAGUCGGUGAUAAAUAAUAUGACUUGAACACUCGUGCAAGGUGAUAGCAUAUACCCUCACCCACUUUUCAUAUGCACAAGACAUUAAUUAUAAUGUAUGUUUGUAAUAUACCGGAUUUUUAAUAUAAAAAUAAGUGUAAAUAAAAAUAGUGUAAAAUACUAUUUUUAUUGGACUUAGAGAAUGGAAACAGAAGAUUUAGAAUUUUCUGUAAGAAAUGAGAUUGAUAUUUUAGCAGAAAAUUCAGUGUCAGAAAAUUAUUUUUGUUAGUGACAAUGUUGGCGGUCUCGAGGCGUGACAAUGUUGGUGCAAGUAAAAUUUAUUUUUGUCCAAAUUAAUAUGGAAUAAGUAAUGAGAUUUGAAUUCUUUUUAUUAACCCUUCAACUCAGUUUGUUCUACUUACAGUACGGCGUUGGACCACUGUGUUAGUUAAUUCGCGUAUAAUACGCGAAUUAUACGUGAACAAACGGAAAACCAUAAAAAACGCUCCGUUUACGAAUUUUUUUCCAAAAAACCGAAAAAAACACGUUUUUCUCCCUCCCUCAGAUUAUUCGCGAUAAAAAUGGUUUUUCCGAGUUAUAUUUCGAAAAAUUCGGAUGUAGCAGCGGUGGAAAGAUAAAAUUUCUUGAGAAAUUUGGAUUUGGUGGCUGCAGACUGAUGAAAUUUUUUGGACCAGCUUUUUGGACCGGCAUCAGGCGAGCACCAUUCCGCAAAUUCGCGCACCUCUUCGUGAGCAAUCGAGCAACUUUGACUGUUCAAUUUUGAAGGAAACAUGCAGACCGAGCGAAGCAAAGAAGAAAAGGGGCGAGCGAGGAAGAAGGAGGAGCUUGGAAAAAAUCGCAUUGUAUGUUGGAAAAUAGUAGGGUCCACGAGGCUGCAUUCAAGGCCUUUGAAAACCACAAACAAACUACAAUCCUAAUUAAAGAGAGUCAUCGAUAUUUACAAUCCUAUUAAUAGAGAAUCAUUGAUAUGUCCUAGUUCACCUACUGAUCAACCACGAUAAUUAUAAUAAAAUCAAACUUAUAAAAUAUUGAAAUAUAGAAGAAGGCUUGACUAACAAAUAUAACAAAUAAGUUAAGUCCCCUUAAUCAAAUUUGUAUCUUGGAAUAAUCUCUCAUGCUACUUCUUCUUACACUCAACUACUGUACUUUUCUCUUUCUAAGGUGUUCAAUAUGUGCAUUCAAUAUGUGCAUAGUGUUUCUAUUUAAUUUGCUUUCUUUUUAAUUUUUUCGACAUGAACUUUUUUUUUGAACUUUUUUUUUAUUCUUUUUUCCUUUUCCACUUCACUAUUUCUUUUCUUUUUUCCUUCUCUACUUCCAUCGCAUCAUUGGAAUCCGAAUGUAGCAAUGUAAGUUCCAUCCAGAUUUAAUGCAAAUUAUAGUGAACAGCAUAGAAAUUUGCACUUUUUUUUUUGCAUAUUUUUUUAUUCAGCAAGAAAACAUUUAAGUUAGCAAUGAUAAUAAAAAAGAAGACAAUAUUAAAAUGAUACAAACAACAAUCAACUCUUAUAUCGAAAAAAAGGUAUGAAGACACAGAUCACACAAAACUUAGCCAGUUCCCGAGCAAACAAAAGAAAAGUCCCAAAAUUAGGGAUUCUGUGCUUCGAGGGGCAUAGAGGCCUUUUUACUCCUAAAUUAUUUUCGAUGAUGAAAUUUUCGAAUCGAUGAUCAAUUCCGUUAUAUUUGAUCUAGCGUAUUUGAAGUAUAUAGAAAAAGAUUUGAUCUAGCGUAUUUGAAGUAUAUAGAAAAUAAAUUUUACGUUUUUUCGAUAAUUCUUUAAUGAUCGAAAGCGUUCAAAAUUAAUGGCUGAAAAUAAAGAAUGCAUAAAAAAUGAUGAUAUAAAGAUCGUAUUAAAAGUUAGGGUCAAAAUUGGAUUGGACUAUAAAUAAAUUAGUUCAUUUUUAUUUCAGGAUGGAAUGCAAAUCAAAAUUUGCUUUUUGUAAAGCAAACAAUACAUUCGAAAUAAGUGAAUGUUCAUUUUUAUUUGCUCUCUUGCAUUCUUAUUUUUGUAGCUCCCCACAAUAAAUGCAAUAUUUUCCAAAAAUAUUAGAAAAAUUAAAGAAUAUAUACACCCUCAUAAUGUGUACAUAUUAUUGUAAUGUGCAUGUCCCUGGUCAAAACUUACGUGAGGUUAGUUUUCCAAAUUAUCUAUUUAAAUUGUUGGAUCUAGCAUGUCGUCAGAAAAAAUUACGUGGAGUUAGUUUUCCAAAUUAUCUAUAUAAGAAUGUAAGAUUUAUUACCACGUAGGUGUUAAAUCUCACAUUCUGAGAUAAUUUGAUAAGGUAGUUAGAAUUUUUCUUCUCUCUACUAUUAGUGGUCCCAAACUUCUUUUAGACCUACUGCCUGGAAAAAUUAUAAGGUACACCAAAAAGUUACAAAAAAAAAAAAAAAAAAAACAAAAAAAACAAAAAAAGAAAUAAACCAAGCCUAGCCUAGAUGCUUGUUGGUUGGUACCCGAGAUUCUAAGUUCAAAAUCUAAUUACUUCACAUUUUCAAUUAAGUUUAUUUCUAAAAUUAAUAAACGAAGCACAAAACAAAAACUUUCAAUUUAUUUGGAUAAUUUAUUAAUCCUAUCCUACUUAUUUUAGAAAAAAAAGUUAUAAUAUUUAAUAAGAAAGAACCAAAAGAGUCUAAUGGAUUUAAAAAAUUAAUAAUUGGAGGAAAGGAAAUUCUAACUAGCUUAUCAAGUUGCCUCAAGAUAUGAAAUUCAAUAUGUAUGUGACGAUACCGACCGUCCCUAGCGCAAGUGGUAACAAGGCUUGAUGGUUGGGAUCUGUGACCCAAUUCGAAUCCUUGUUGAUUCACAUUUUCUAGUCAAGUUUAUUUCUAAAUGAAAUAAACGAAACGAGUAGCAUGCUAUCUUUCUCUCAAAAAAAAAAAAAAAUCUGUAUGUGACGAUAAAUUCGACAUUCUCAAAUAGAUAAUUUGAAAAACUCUCUUGUGCGCAAUUUUUGGCAAUGUCACCUAUGCAUCAAAUUGUAUGGGACCAUUUCCAUUAACUUCGCACGAGCAUUAUCUCGAAGUAGGUGUCUAGGUGAUGGAAAGUGUUUGGGGGUAAAAUGUACGGCCACACCCUCAACUACAGGCCAUUCCAAGCUUGGAUCCCAAACAUUUCCUCUUUUUUUUUCUGAUAUUUUUUUUGUUUUAAAUUUUUGAUAAAUUGAGAUGUUUUAGUGAAAUACAUUAAGAAUUUUAUCAGAUUUUCCUUGACUCCAUAAGAAUCAGAACUAAACGAUGUUUAGCAAGGUAAUAAUUCAUCUUGUUUUAUCUUAAGAACAUGGUUAUAACUUAUAAGCGGGGAUGAAGCUAGAAUACAAAAAGAAACUUUAGCAAAUAAACAAGAUUUUACCUAAUUUAAUAUUUUAAUAAAAAAAUUUAUUAAUUAAAUAAUUAAUAAAAAUAUGAACUUUAUUUUUUUUCUAUUUUCAGACGUUUAACUUCUAAUUAAUUAUUUUAUUUAUAUUAUUACAUUCAAAUAACUUAAAAAUUUUACAAAAUCUAACGGUGAUUUCUUAAUUUUUAGUAAAUAAAAUUAGCAUAGCUAUUAAAUUUGGUGUAAUCUUUUAUAUAGUUAAAUAAAAUAGCUCAACUAACAUAGUUAGAAGUUAAAAAAAUAUUAAACGAAAAUUAUAGAGCGGAGAAAUAUAUUUCAAAAUGCUCUAUGAGUAAGUGGCUCUUAAUAUAUUUUCACUUACAUAAAGAGUAUACAAAUAAGGAGAGGGAGAGUUAUACUAGCACCACGAGCUAUUAAGCAAAUAUUAAAAAGCUAGGAGAACCACGACUACCCAAAAAAGAGAGCUGAAUAAAUACCAAAAAGUAUUGAGAAAAUAUUAAGAAGUUGGGGGGAGCCAUGGCAACUUUUUUUUUGUUUUUUUUUUUUUGUUUUUUUUUUGUUUUUUUGCUUUUUUAUUUUUUUUCACCUUUCGUUGAGGCCUUGCUGCCUCACCCAUGUAGCUUAAUUCACUUACUGAAUGAAUAAAGUGGGUAACGCGCUACCUUUCUCUCAAAAAAAAAAAAAAAUGUGGGAGCCUAAGAUUUAUUUUGGUAUCAUGUUAAUCAAGAGAUUCAUAUAUUAAGAAAUAAUUUACUAAUUUAAAAUCAUUUGUCAUGCAAAGUAUAUCAAAUAAAAAUGAAAAUACAUGAUGUACGUGGAACAUAAUAUUAGACACACAUUGGGUGCAAUUCUUACACAGAUGCACUUUGCCUGUCCAUAAUGGAUGGCUCAAAUAGAACUACCGGUCUCGCGCUUGGAACUAUAGAGAAAUUGGGCCUUAAUGUCUCUCUUGAUUGAUAAACUAUUUUAUCUAGUUUCAUAUAUUAUUACAUAAGCUAUUUUAUCUAGUUACAUAUAUUAUUAGGAAAUAGAUCCAAUUUCAUUUGUUCCUUCUGUUUUAAAUAAAAUAGAUAUCAAUCACUAGGCGAAGCCUAAAUAUGAUAUUCUCUAGCUACUUAGAUCUUAAACAUCAUUAAGGUCCUAUUUAAAUGUCGGAAUAAGUUAUUCCAAAAUAGCUUAUUAGGUAUAAGAAAUUUCUAGUGUGAUUAUAAGAAAGAAGCUUUUUUUUUUUUUUUUUCUUGAAAGACUUUGAUAUCCAUAAUUUGAUAGAAUAACAUAUUUAUUUACGAGUGAUUUGUCUUAUUCGAAAAAUGGCGUAAAGGGUGAAUUUAUACUCAUUUAUUAAUAUUUGAUCACACACCUCAUGUGUUAAUAUGUUUUAACUUUUCAUACAAAAUUAAAAAGAUAUACCGAAUACGAUAUUUAUACAUUCAAAUCGGGUUGAAGUUAUAUAUGACGGUAUCAAUCCAACUCGGAUUAAACUUAAACUAAACCAAUUCAUUCAAAAAAAAAAAAAAAAACCAAACCACACCAAUUAAAACCUGUCUUAUUGGAGAACCGCCAAAGAGGAUGGAGCGGGGCCAAGUCUCUCAUGGUGCUACUACUAUAUAUGUGGGCUAAGAGCCAGGUCGAUCCGUAUAGAAUUUUUUUUUCACAAAAUUAUUUUUAUAUAGAAUAAAGGUUUUUUAAUAAAUAUUUUUUAUUUAUGGUAAAUAUCAAUGACCAUUUUUAUAUACAUUUUUUAUAUUUAUUCUUCAUUAUACAUUGGCUUCAUAGUACUAGCUAUCGUCUAACACAAACACUUAUUUCUAGAAUACGCGCAUACACAAUUGCCUUGCAUAAGGAGACAAAUGUUCGAUCCAUUUUGUAAUACUAAUAAGAAACAGUACUAGAUCACAGUAAUUAAGGAGCACACUCUCUAUUGUAGAUCUUUAAACUAGCUUACAUACUCACUGAACACACCGAAACAUAACAGAAAUUAACCACAAGGUCGAAGCAAGCAGCUGAACAAAUGGAUGCGUACAUGCAUCCUUAUUUAUAACUAAGCAAAUAUGAUAGCAAACUGCAUGCAGUGCGUUGCUAAUCAUCACUGCCGACCUACACUGAGCUUCGACUUUCAAAAACAAUCUAAAUGACUUCGACACUGGGCCCUGAUUGUAGAGUGGGAUAGAGAGGGUCCAUGGCGAUUCCACAUAAUCCAAAUGACGAUGACACAUCUCUUGCCAAGCGGAUGUAUCCACCCUCACCCCAUCCGGCACCCCAUGAGUUCCUUACUAUCCAAAAUUUUUUUCCGCUGCUAUCCUGCCCGUAACCUAUAAUGACGAUGGCAUGAUUGAGUCUAGUUCCACAAGGUCCGGUAAACACACCGCGCUUGUAAUGUUGAAAGUUUCCACUGGCAUCGAGAGCAGCAGCUAUUGGUUGAUUCGACACAGCGUACAUCAUGUUGCGUUCGUUGUUCCUCUGCACAUAUGUAUAGCGAGUAAUAUAAGCUGAAUUGGGCACGCCAUUGGUCUUGCAGGUACCUUUGGCUGCUUUGUAAGGGUAGAUAGCUGCGGAUGCCACGCCCUUGUUGGAUAUGAUGAAACUGUAGGCCUUGUUUAUCCAGCCGCCUUUGCACCCGUAGCUUACAGCACAAUCGAGAACUUGCUGCUCCGAUAAAGAUACUAAGUUCCCUCUUUUGAUCUUGUAGAUUGAUUCUACCGUCGCAAUUGAAGCGAAUGCCCAGCAAGAACCUGUGCCGAAACAAAGAUUAAAUCGUGUUAGCAUAACAAGUGUAAGCAAAGUUACAUAUAUAUGUAGGUUGCCAUGAUAAAAGAAAGCAUUCAAACCAAUUACCUAAUUAGAUGAUACUUGCAAGUACUUAGCUGCUUUUAACUUGUUUUCAAUACUUGUCAUGCAUAGGGGAUGUCCCGUUCUUUUUGACUAAAACGUAUUUUGCUUACUUUAAUAAUAUAAUUAUUGUAAUAACUUAAUUAACAAUAAGAAAUUCAAUAAUAGACCUAACAUCCAGAUGAGUUGAAUCAAGUCGAAAUCUAUAAAUGUUAUGGUUAAGUCUUUAAGUGUGUUGGAUACAUUCUUUUUAUCGCCACUUUUUCUGUAAUAGUUGAUUAUCACUUACCAUCCACAUUCGAUAGCUAGGAUGAUUUUUUAUUAACUAGAUUCAAUAUUUCGACAAUUUCCUUGUAUGAAGACUGAUAAUGUGUCCUAAUGAAUGUUUAGACACUUUUAAUUUGAUCGGCCAAAAUAAUGGACUUGUUGGGUUUUAGUGGGUGGAAAUUUGGUCCUUUAGUCCAAAAACGGCAGAAGGCAUAUUUGGUGAGAUUUGAUCUAAACAACAUGUUUAAAGUUAACUAAAAGAAUAGGUAUUUGUUCCUAGCUGAAAAAAUGAAGUUGCUUUGACAAUUUAUAGUCCACAUUAAUCCUUACCACAGCGGCCUUGGUUCUUGACACUUGUUACGGCACCAGAGUCUCUCCAAUCAAUACUUUGAGGCACCGAGGAGAUGUCUACGUCAUCAAACGACACCACUGGCUCUCUCUUGAUAUUUAGUGGGAGAGAUAAACCAGUAUAUUGAGCAACAAAUUCGUUAUUUGUCAUAUCGGUAAAUUGAUUGAUACCGAGAGUGUACGAAUUUCCGUUGCGAUUGUUAAAGGUUUCGAUAUGGUUCACGUUGUUCUUGAAUAUCUGAAACCGGAGCAUCUUCUCGUCGUUGUCCUUGUAAACUCGGCCGUACUCCGCCAUCCAUUCUUCAAACUGCUUCAUCAUGGGAUCACUGGGUUCGUCACAAGAAGCUGCCGAUGGCGAAGCCCACAUCACACAGAGAAACAAGAAAAGAAACACGAGUUGAACUUUGGAAGUCAUGCUUAUGUAGCACUAAAUAUCUACUUUUAUGUAUGAGGAAAUUGGAGAUCGAGCUUCAAGAGCUUUUGUUGCUGAGAGUAUGGCCUCAAGAUCGAGUUUAUAUAGAAGUUGGAGUAUUAAUAGGUGGAGGCCUACAAGAUGGCAUAAAUCACCAUCAAAUUAAAAUUAAAUAGAUCUUGACCGCUUAUGACACCGCGUCAUUUGGUCACGCGCUAAUCAUGAAAAAGAUAAUAAUGUUUCUCUACUUCUCUCACAUUUUAACUUUAUAAUUUCUUUCAUAGGGCAUAAAAUGACUAAUUAAAUAGAUCUUGAACCCUCCUCGCCAUAAGAUCAUCUUAGGUGCAAGCAAAAAGGAAUGUACAUUUCUCCAUUUCUAUCUUUUCACUCUCUAACUUUAAUCUUUCAUGCAUAGGCUAUAUAUAUUCGUUCUUCUUGUUUCUUUUUCCGUUGCAUGAGCAGGACCAACCCUAGAAAUAAAAACCUGAUCUGUAGUUUAGUCAAAUAUUGCUUUAAAACUCGAUCGAUCUGUAAUUUGAAAAGUAGCCAACUUUGAAACAGCAUAUAUAUAGUUGCAGCUCAAGCGGAAAAUAAACCAACUAAAAGCUAAGGUUCCCUUUAGAAUUGCAGCCACAUUACAUUGCGUACGGUAAGAAAUUAAAAAUAUAAAAAUAUUUUAUUUAUUUUCAUUAGUGAUUUUUAAAAUAUAAAUAUUAAAAAUAUUAUUUUCUAUACUAUAAACUUUAAGAUUAAUGAUUAUUUCACAUCCUUCUACUCUAUAUCAAUUGAAGGACUUGUGGCUUUAAGUUCUGCCCAUUUAAAAAUAUUCAAUAUUUUUAUAUAUAGGAACCCGGCGUCUCCCAAACUAAGUAUUACCUAUUCUAAUACUAUGCGAAAUAACAUGACACAGCGGUUGUUCUCCAAAAACUUAAAGAUGCCUCAGAGGAUAAGGCACUAAGUUUGAAUCUUAUCGGGCAAUAAUUUCAUCCAAUUUCUUUUAAUUUAAUUUAAUUUAAUUCAAGUUCACAUUUUAAGUCUACUGAAAUUUCUCGAACCUAAACAUGAGGUAGAGUGUUAAUUUUAUAUAUAUAUAUAUAUAUAUAUAUAUUGUUAAGAUUUCGUUAGAUUUAUAGAUUAAAUUCUAGUUGGAUAAAAAUUAAUAUUUAAAUUUGUUGGAGAUAAAUUAAAAUUUAAAUAUUAUUUAGAGUAUGAAUCUAACUAGAGUAGGAUAAAUAUUUAAAUCUAUUGGAGAUAAAUCAAUUAAGAUUUAAAUAUUUAUUGGAGUAGAAAAAUAAAUAUACUAGAAUUCGGGUACGCUUUGAUAUAAGCUUUAUAAAUAAAUUCAUCAUACUUACUCGAUCCCAAUUCAUUCGUUUUCCUUAUAAAAAAAAUAUUCUACAAUGUCAUUCUCUCAACGAUGUCUGAGUGCAAAUUAAACAUGUAUUAAACCAAAAAUCAAAUCACGGAUUAUAAUUUUUUAAUGCAUAAAUCUUUUAAACUUUAUAAAAUUAUAUCAAAUUAAUUAAAUUUUAAUUAAUUUUAAAAUUUUUUAGGGGAAAAGAUGCUUAGUUAUCUGUUUUGUACAUUUUGAGAAUUUCUUUUGGCACCGACCGUCACUAGCGCAAGUGGUACAGGGUUUGGUGGUUGGUAUUGGAGGUCCCAAAUUCGAGUUAAGUUUAUUUCUAAAUGAAAUAAACGAAGCGGGUAACAUACUAUCUAUCUUUUAACAAAAGGGGAAACUUCAAAUACCCGCCUGUGGUUUCGUACUUUCUCACUUUAGUACCCUGUGGUUUAAAGUGUAUCAAGUUGGUACCUAGCUGUGGUUUCGUAUUUUUUCACUUUCGUACUCUGUGAUUUCAAGUGUAUCAAGUUAUUAUCCUAUGGUUUCGCACUUUCUCACUUUAGUACCAUGUGAUUUAAUAUUUUGUUAAAUUAUAUGCCUCGAAAUGAAUAAUAAAAACAGAAAAUUGAAACCACAGGGUACUAACUUGAUACAAAAAUAAAACCACAAGGUAAUAACUUAAUACAGUUGAAACCAUAUAGUACUAAAGUGAGAAAGCGCGAAACCACAUGGUACUAACUUGAUAUAUUUUAAAUCACAAGCUACUAAAGUGAGAACGCAUGAACCCAAUGGGGGUAUUUGAAGUUUCACCUAAAAAAAGAAUUUCUUUUGGCAAAGCCUACGAGAUGUAGACCCAUGCAAUGUGUACGUGUGCAAACGUUAAUUUCUCUCUUAUCAAUCGUUAGUAAAGUUGCGAGGGGAACAACUUUUAUUGCAGCUGAUGUGUUGUUAUUGGAAUUAUCGGAGCAUGUGUUGCCCAACGGGAAUAGGGCUGAUAAGAGACGUGCAUGAAUUAAAAAAGUUAUAUUUAAUUUUUUUAAAAAAAUAUUGUUCAGAAUAGUUGUUUAGCAUUAUGAAAGAAUUUUUUUUAAAAAAAGUAUCAAUGCCACGCUUAUGUAUUAAAAUGCCCUCAUAAAAUGAUAAUAUCAUUCAUGCUCUUUUAAAUGGUCAUAAAUCUUAUAGUAAUUAGCUCUAGUGAUUAAUUAGUCUCUACCGAAAAAUCUCGUCAUUAAUUAUUAUAAAAUAUUUAUUUUUUUACCAUUACGUACUAUUAGUAUAAUAACUCGUGCGAUGUGAUAAAUAGAUAGUUAAAGAAAAAAUAAAAAAUGGCCACAAAAAAGAGUAAAUAACAAUGGAAGACACUACAACAGAAUUAGGUUAUAGAAACACAUGUUUGGAACACUUUUGAGUAAGUAUCCCAUUUAUACUAAAAUUUAAAAAAAUAUCUACUAAUGCCUAAAUAUAAAGCCCAAUCCAACCAAAAAUAAAAGAUUACUUUACUCAACCCACCACACCCAGUCCAUUUGGCCUGAUUACAAACAGAAAAAAAAAAGAAAAAUUAAUUACCAUAUUUUCUUCUCGCUUUACUCAAUCCACUGAAAUUCUAGACGAAGAGCCAUUCCUGUCGUCCUCCUCCGCCACCGCAGCCAACGAGAUAGAGUUUCGGCGGUUGCGAAAUGCUUAAAUAAGUUGUUGGUAAAUUAGCAGCACUCUUUUAGGUUAUAGCGACACUCUUUAACUGUCACUAUAUAUCUAGCGAACCCACAUAUAGCAACACUUUUUAAAAGUGUCGGUAAUUUUAGCUAGCAUCACUUUUUUGACAUGUACCUACAUUUAAAAGUGUCGUUAUAGACCGUUUUUAUUGUAGUGAGAACUGACGAUGAGAGAAGAGAUUUAUCCUGCCGAUGAACGAAAAUAACAGUUGAAGUGACAAAGGGCUUGGUGGUUGGUACUCGAGACCCAAGUUCGAAUCCUAGUUGAUUCACAUUUUCAGCUAAGUUUAUUUUUAAAUGAAAUAAACGAAGCGGGUAGUGUGCUACCUAUCUCUCAAAAAAAAAAAAAAAAAUAGCAGUUGAAGAAAGAGGAAAUGAAAUAGUUGGUCUAAUGCAGAGGCGUGAUCUAGUUUGGUUCAAGGAAAAGAAAAAUCCGAUUCAGUUCAAACAAAAAAAAGAAAAAACUUGAGACAGUUUGGGAUAAAGCCUACACUCAAUAGUGAUCGAUUUAGUUCAAGUAUAAAAACAGAAAAAAAAAAAAAUUUGGUUCAAAGCUGCAAACAUGUGGAGCAGUGGGGCUAGUUUAGCCCAAUGCAACAGGUUGAUUUGAUUCGUUUCAAGCAAAGAAAGAAAGAAAUCAGGUUCAUUCCACGUGAAAAAGGAGAAAACUUAAGCGUAUUUUCAAAAUUUAUUAGAACUAAAAUUAGGAUAACGCUAUUUGACAUAAGAUAAUAUGAGAAAUAUUUAUGAUAUUUUUAGAAGUAUUUGUGAUAGUUUAAGAUUUUGAGGAGUAGCUAUGAAGUUGUCCCUAAAAAAAUCUGCAGUUCGAUCUCUCACAACCUCGUUUCAAAAUUUGGAAGAUCAAUCUCCUUGACUUUCGAAUUUUAUGUAGUACAAUUUUUAGACGUUGUUCUUAAGGUAAGAAAUUUAUAAGCAACUUUAAAGGUUUUAGUCAAAUAUAUUCACUACAAAAAAAACGGUCUAUAGUGACACUUUUAAAUAUAGGUACAUGUCAAAAAAGUGUUGGUAGCAAAAAUUACCGACACAUUUAAAAAGUGUUGCUAUAUGUGGGGUAGCUAGGUAUAUAGUAACAGUUAAAGAGUGUCGCUAUAAUCUAAAAGAGUGCUGCUAAUUUACCAACACUUAUUUAAGCAUUUAGCAACCGCCGAAACUCUAUCUCGUUAGCUGCGGUGGCGGAGGAGGACGACAGGAAAGGCUCUUCGUAUAGAAUUUCAGUGGAUUAAGUGAAGAGAGAAGAAAAGAUGGUAAUUGAUUUUUUUUUUUUCUUUUCUGUUUGUAAUCGGGCCAAAUGAACUGGGUGUGGUGGGUUAAGUAGAGUAAUCUUUUAUUUUUGGUUGGAUUGGCCUUUAUAUAUAGGCAUUAGUAGAUGUUUUUUUAAAUUUUAGGAUAAAUGAGAUACUUACUCAAAAGUGUCCCAAACAUGUGUCCCUAUAACCUAAUUCUGUUGUAGUGUAUAUAUUAAGAAUUUUAUCAGAUUUUCCGUGAUUUCAUCAAAUUUAAAAGUUUUGACCAUUUCUAGCAAUUGAAGCUUGAAUAAUUUACAACUAACUAGAAUUGCCCAAAUUAAACAAAUUUAGAAGAUAAAAAGAUGGUAAGAGUGGAGGAGUCGAUUUCAAAGGAGCCUAUGAUUGAGCACGUCUUCGUACACUUCUAUCAAUUAUCUGCUCACGUAUGCAGCAGCCAGAGCUAAACUAUGUUUAUCGAUCAGGGCAAUAAUUCGCCUUUUUUUUUUAAUGAUCUUAAGAACAUGGUUAUAAGCUUUAAUUAAAAUUAUAGAGCUUGACAACAAGUUGAACAAGUUUAUGACAAAAAUAAAUAUAUAUUAUAAGCACAGUCCCACAAAAUUGUGGGAGCAUAAGAUUUAGUUGGUAUCAUAUUAUACGAACGAACCAUAUAUCAUCGCUCAUGCAUUUUGACCGUUCAUAUUGGAUGGUCCAAAUAGAACGAUCGGUCUUGAUUGAUAAGGUAUAUAUAUUUUUUAAUGAUCUUAGGAAAUAAAUCCAAUUUCAUUUGUUCCCUUUGUUUUUAAUAAAAUAGGAAUCAUUCACUAGGCUCAGCCUAAAUCUAAUAUUCAUUGUAGAGGUGGCAAUCCAGCUUUGCUGCUCGCGAGUUAGUUCAUGUUCGGCUCGAAAUGAACUCGAAAUCGAAUCGCUCGUUUAGUAAACGAGUCGAACACGAGCUGAAGUUUUCAGCUCGUUUAAUAAACGAGCCAAACACAAGCCGGCGUCAGCUCGCUUAUUUUCGGCUCAAUAACAGCUCAAAUAUAUAUAUAUUUUAUAUUUAUAUAAUCUAUUUAAUUUAUAUUUAUAUAUUUAUAUAUAUAAAUAAAUAAUUAUGUAAUAUAUAUAUAUAUAAAAUUUAAUUUUUAGAAAAAAAAAUAUAAAGUCGAGCUCAAUUAAAAAAAAACUCAUUUAUAUAUAAAGUUUCAACCAUUAAAUCAAAAUCUAAUGAAUAAAAUUUUAUAAAUUUAUUUUUUAUAUAUAUUCAAUCUAAUUAAUUUAAUUUAUUGUUCAUUGGCCAACUCGUGUUCGGCUCAUUUAUUAAUAAAUCGAACACAAGUUGAAUUUUUCAGCUUGAUACUUUAACAAGUCAAUUCGUGUUCGGCUCGUUUAUUAAACGAGUCGAAUACGUGCCGGCCCUAGCUUACUCGUGUUCGGCUCCUUAACACCCCUAAUUCUUAGCUACUUAGAUCUUAGACAUCAUGAAGGUGCAGUCGGAAUAUCCAAAUAAGUUAUUCAAAGAGAAGAAUUUCUAGGGUGAAAGAAGUUUAUUUUUUCUCCUAGGAAAGAAUUUGAUAUCCAUAGUUAGAUACCAUAAUAUAUUUUAUCAAAUUUUAGAUUUUUGAUCACACUGCUCAUCUAUUAAUAUUAUGUAUAAAUUUUUUAAAUAAUAUUUAUAAAAUAUAUCAAUUAAGAUAUUCAUGCAUCCAAAUAGGGCCGAAGUUAUGACGGUACCAAUCCAACUUGGAUUAAGCCAAAUUCAUUCAUCGAAACCAAACCAUACCUAACAAAACGUCCUUUAUUAGAUAACAGCCAAAGAGGAUGGACCUGGACCAUGUCUCGUGGGCCUACUACUAUGUAGGCGGAGAACAAUGUCGGUCCACGAGAACACCUAAUAUUUUUUAAAAAAAUUUUAUUUUAAUAGAAUAUUUUUUUAAAAAAAAUAUAAUUUAUUUAUGUAUAAUGAAUGACUAAUUAUUGUAAUAGAAUAAAAUUUUCUCUUUAUUGUAAUAUUUUUUAAAAAAAAGAUUUGUUACCAAUCGUUCCUAAAGUAAAUGGCAAAGGGUUUGGUGGUUGGUAUACGAGACCCAAGUUUGAAUCCUAGUUGAUUCACAUUUCCAACUAAGCUUAUUUUAAAAUGAAAUAAAUGAAGUGGGUAGCGUGCUACCUAUCUCUCUCUUAANUGAUCUAGUACUGUUUCUUAUUAGUAUUACAAAAUGGAUCGAACAUUUGUCUCCUUAUGCAAGGCAAUUGUGUAUGCGCAAAAAAAAAAAAAAAAAUUGUUUUUCAUUAACAGAAACAUACUAGAUCACAGUAAUUAAGGAGCACACUCUCUAUUGUAGAUCUUCAAACUAGCUUACAUACUCACUGAACACACAGAAACAUAACAGAAACUUACCACAAUUAAUGUCGAAGCAAGCAGCUGAACAAUUGGAUGCGUACAUGCAUCCUUAUUUAUAACUAAGCAAAUAAGAUAGCAAACUGCAUGCAGUGAUCACUUCCGAUCGACCUACACUGAGCUUCGACUUUCAGAAACCAUUUUAAUGACUUCGACAUUGGCCCCUGAUUGUAGAGUGGGAUAGAGGGGACGUAUGGCGAUUCCACAUAAUCCAGAUGACGAUGACACAUCUCUUGCCAUACGGAUGUAUCCACGCUCACCCCAUGAGGCACCCCAUGAGUUCCUUACUAUCCAAAAUUUUUUUCCGCUGCUAUCCUGCCCGUAACCUAUAAUGGUGAUGGCAUGAUUGAGACUAGUUCCACAAGGUCCGCUAAACACACCGCGCUUGUAAUGUUGAAAGUCUCCACUGGCUUCAAUACUAGCAGCUAUUGGUUGAUUCGACACAGCGUACAUCAUGCUGCGUUCGUUGUUACUCUGCACACGUGUAUAACCAGUAAUAUAAGCUGAAUUGGGCACGCCAUUGAUCCUGCAGGUGCCUUGGGAUGCUUUGUAAGGGUAGAUAGCUGCGGAUGCCACGCCCUUGUUAGAUAUGAUGAAAUCGUAGGCCUUGUUCACCCAGCCGCCAUCGCACCCGUAGCUUACAGCACAAUCGAGAACUUGCUGCUCCGAUAAAGAUAUUAAGUAUCCUCUUUUGAUCUUGUAGAUUGAUUCUACCGUCGCAAUUGCAGCGAAUGCCCAGCAAGAACCUGUGCCGAAACAAAGAUUAAAUCGUGUUAGCAUAACUAGUGUAAGCAAAGUUACAUAUAUAUGUAGGUUGCCAUGAUAAAAGAAAACAUUCAAACUAACCCAAUUAGAUGUUAUUUGCAAGUACUGAGCUGCUUUUAACUUGUUUUCAAUAGUUGUCAUGCAUAGGGAUGUCUCGUUCUUUUUGACUAACAUGUACGUAUUUUGCUUACUUUAAUAAUAUAAUUAUUGUACUAACUUAAUUAACAAUAAGAAAUUCAAUAAUAUACCUAACGUCCAGAUGAGUUGAAUCAAGUCGAAAUCUAUGAAUGUUAUGGUUAAGUCUUUAAGUGUGUUGGAUACAUUCUUUUUAUCACCACGUAUUUAUGUAAUAGUUGAUUAUCACUUAUGAUCGAUCCUCAUUCGAUAACUAGGAUGAUUUUUUAUUCACUAGAUUCAAUACUUUGAUAAUUUCCUUGUAUGAAGACUGAUAAUAUGUCCUAAUGAAUGUUUAGACACUUUUGAUCGGCCAAAAUAAUGGACUUGUUGGGUUUUAGUGGGUGGAAAUUUGGUCCUUUAUAAAGGACCAAAUUAUAUUAUUUGAUGAGAUUUGAUGAGAUUAUAUUAUUUAGUCCAAAAACGGCAGAAGGCAUAUUUGAUGAGAUUUGAUCUAAAAUACAUAUUUAAAGUUAACUAAAAGAAUAGGUAUUUGUUCCUAGUUGAACAAAUGAAGUUGCAUUGACAAUUUAUAGUCUAAAUUAUUUCUUACCACAGGGGUUUUGGUUCUUGACACUUGUUACGGCACCGUAGUUUCUCCAAUCAAUACUUUGAGGCACCGCGGAGAUGUCUACGUCAUCAAACGACACCACUGGCUCUCUCUCGAUAUUUAAUGGGAGAGAUACUCCAGUAUAUUGAGCAACAAAUUCGUUAUUUGUCAUAUCGGUAAACUGAUUGAUACCGAGAGUGUAAGAAUUUCCGUUGCGACUGUUAAAGGUUUCGAUAUGGUUCACGUUGUUCUUGAAUAUCUGAAACCGGCGCAUCUUCUCGUCGUUGUCCUUGUAAACUCGGCCGUACUCCGCCAUCCAUUCUUCAAACCGCUUCAUCAUGGGAUCACUGGGUUCGUCACGAGAAGCUGCCGAUGGCGAAGCCCACAUCACACAGAGAAACAAGAAAAGAAACACGAGUUGAACUUUGGAAGCCAUGCUUAUGUAGCACUAAAUAUCUAGUAUAUGUAUGAGGAAAUUGGAGAGUCUGGUCUCAAGAUUGAGUUUAUAUAGAAGUUGGAAUAUUAAUGGGUGGAGGCCUACAAGAUGGCAUAAUUAAAUCUCCAUCAAAUUAAGAUUAAAUAGAUCUGGACCACUUGUGACACCGCGUCAUGUGGCCAUGGUCACGUGCUAAUCAUGAAAAAAAUGAUGUUUCUCUACUUCUCUCACAUUUUAACUUUAUAAUUUCUUUCAUAGGAUAUAGAAUGACUAACUAAUUAAAUAGAUCUGGAACCCUCCUCGCCAUAAGAUCAUCUUAGGUGCAAGCAAAAGGAACGUACGUACGUUUCUCCAUUUCUAUCUUUUCACUCUCUAAAUUUAAUCUUUCAUGCAUAGGCUGUAUAUAUUCGUUCUUCUUGUUUAUUUUUCCAUUGCAUGAGCAAUACCAACCCUAGAAAUAAAAACUUGAUCUGUAGUUUAGUCAAAUAUUACUUUAAAACUCGAUCUGUAAUUUGAAAAGUAGCCAACUUUGAAACAGCAUAUAUAUAGUUGCAGCUCAAGCGGAAAAUAAACCAACUCAAAGCUAAGGUUCCCUUUAGAAUUGCAGCCACAUUACAUUACGUACGGUAAGAAAUUAAAAAUAUAAAAAUAUUUUAUUUAUUUUUAUUAGUGAAUUUUAAAAUAUAAAUAUUAAAAAUACUAUUUUCCAUACUAUAAACUUUAAGAUUAAUGGUUAUUUCACAUCCUUUUACUCCAUAUCAAUUGAAAUAAGGACUUAUAUAUGGCUUUAAGUUCUGCCCAUUUAAAAAUAUUCAAUAAUUUUAUAUAUAGGAACCCCGCAUCUCCCAAACUAGGGAUUACCAGUUCUAAUACUACGCGAAAUAAUAUGACGUAACUGUUGUUCUUCAAAAACUUAAAGAUGGCUCAGAGGAUGAGGCGCUAAGUUUGAAUCUUAUCGUGCAAUAGGUUAAUCCAAUUUCUUUUUAUGUAAGUUAAUUUAACUCAAGUUCAUAUUUUAAGUCUAUUAAAACUUCUCGAGCCUAAACAUGAGGUAGAGUGUUAAUUUUAUAUAUAUAUAUUAAACAGACCUUUCUUUAAUAACUUAAGUUUCUAUAGAUAAAUAAUUGUUUCACAUUCUUUCAUAGAUUUAACUUUUUUCAUAUUAUAAUAAAUUUAUUAUAAUAUAAUUCCUAUGCUUUCAUUAGAAAAUAAUGAAGUAUAUAUCUUUAUAUGAUUUAACUCCAACCAAGUUACAUCUACUAGCAUGCUUCAAUGCCCAAAUGGGUGCUAAGUUACAAGACAAUCCAAAAUAAGGAAAGCCCAAGUUCUAAGUCGGCACUAAAGUUAAUUUACUGAGUAAAAUUCAAUUUACCCACACCACCACCCCCUGUAAUUUAGUGGAGUUUUACUUUGUUCUUAUGUAGUUUAAAGGUUGCAUGUAACUAUCGUGUGAUUUUUUAUUUUUAUUUUAUCUAUAAAACUUGACAUCAAUUAGCAAAGUGAAUUUUUUGUUCUGUUUAACAGUAAGUCUUUACAAGAAAAUAAAAAUUAAUAUUAUACGAUAGUUAAGUAUAACUUUUCAAACCGCAUAAUAACAAAGUGAAAAAAUAUUAAACAGCAGUAAGAAAAAUUAAAAAUUACCUAAUUAAAUUAAUCAUACUUACUCGAUCCCGAUUCAUUCGUUUUCCUUCAAAGAUUCUACAAUCUCAUUCUCUCAACGAUAUUUGAGUGCAAAUUAAAUAUGUAUUAAACCAAAAAUCAAAUCACGGAUUUUAAUUUUUUAAUGCAUAAAUCUUUUAAACUUUAUAAAAUUAUAUCAAAUUAAUUAAAUUUUUUAAUUAAUUUUAAAAUUUUUUAGGGGAAAAGAUACUUAGUUAUCCGUUUUGUUCAUUUUGAGAAUUUCUUUUGACACCGACUAUUUCUAACGCAAGUGGUAAAGAAUUUAGUAGUUGAUAUUCGAGAUUCAAAAUUUAAACUUAAUUUAUUUCUAAAUAAAAUAAACGAAGUGGUACCUAUCUACGAGAUGUAGACCCAAUGCGUACAUCCGCAUACGUUAUUUUCUCUCUUAUCAAUCGUUAGUAAAGUCGCAAUCGAGAGGGGGACAACUUUUAUUGCAGCUGAUGUGUUGUUAUUGGAAUUAUCGGAGCAUGUGUUGCACAACGGGAAUAUAAAGGACUGAUAAGAGACGUGCAUGAAUUAAAAAACAGUUACUGACGAUGGAAGAAGUGACAAAAAACAAAAAGAGAUUUAUCCUGCCGACAAAAAAAAGAGUAAAUGAUAAUGAAAGAAGUGGCGAUGAGGAAAGAGAUUUAUCCUACUGAUGAACGAAGAUAAUAAUUAAAAAAAGAGAAAAAGGAAUAGUUCCGCUUAAUGCAGAGGUGUGAUCCAGUUUGGUUCAAGCAAAAAAAAAAAAAAAUCGGUUCGAUUCAAGCAAAGAAAAAGAAACACUUGAGACGGUUUUGGGUAAAGCUUAUACUCGAUAGUGAUAGAUUCAGUUCAAGUAUAAAAAGAGAAAAUAUUUAGUUUAAAGAUGAAAACAUGUGGAGCAGUUGGGUUGGUUCAGUCCAAUGCAACAGGUUGAUUUGAUUCGCUUCAAGUAAAGAAAAAGAGAAAUCAGGUUCAUUCCACGUAAAGAAAGAGAAAAAUAUGUGAAAAACUUAAGUCUGUUCGGAAGAGUUUACAUUCAAUAAUUAUUGAUUCGAUUUAAGUAAAGAAUAAGGAAAAUUCGAUUUGAUUCAAGCAAAAAGGAAAAAAAAAAAUUAUGCGAAAAACUUGAACGGAUUCUGAAUGAAGCUCUGAAUGAAGCUCACACUUAAUAAUGAAAGGAGCGUUAUCAUGUGGCAAAACUAGAAGGAAUAGAUAGAUAUCACUAAUGUCGCUUAAAUUAUCUAUAGCUAAUAUUCAAAGUUUUCUACAUCAUUAAUGUUGCUUAAAUGGUAUUCAAAAUUUUCUAUAGCGUAUGUUCAAAAUUUAUUAGAACUAAGAUUAGGAUAACGCUAUUUGACAUAAGAUAACAUGAGAAAUAUUUAUAAUAUCUUUAGAAGUGUUUGUGAUAGUUUAAGAUUUUGAGGAGUAGCUAUGAAGUUGUCCCUAAAAAAAUCUGUAGUUCGAGCUUUCACAACCUCGUUUCAAAAUUCGGAAGAUCAAUCUCCUCGACUUUCGACUUUUAUGUAGUACAAUUAAUUUUUAGACGUUGUUCUUAAGGUAAGAUAUUUAUAAGCAACUUUAAAGGAGAAAAAGUUAUAUACUAACAGGGAUCGCAUUUAAUUCGGAAAUUUGAAUGUGAGUUUUUACUUUUUAACCGUCCAGAUUUCACACUUUGAUAAAUAAUACGACUUGAAUACUCAUAAAAGACGAUAGCAUGCCCUUACCCACUUUUCUUAUGCACAAGACAUAAACUAUAAUGUAUGUUGGUGCAAGCAAAAUUUAUUUUAUUUGAGAUUUGAAUUCAUUUUAUUAACCCUUCGACUCAGUUUGUUCUACUUACAGUACGGCGUUGGACCACAACAUACAUAUCGAUUAUUCAGAUACGACUUUAUUAAAUUGCAUUAAAGGCCUCUAAAGUUAAAAAUUUAGUUUGGGGACCAUUUGCUUUAAUUUCGCUCGGGCAUCAUCUGAAAUAGGCCAUGCCAAAUUAGGCCCCGCCCUCAACUACAGGCCACGCCCUCAUCUACAGGACAUUCCAAACUAGGUCCCCCAACAUUUCUUUUUCUGUUUUUUUUUAAAAGUUUAUUUUUGUUUUAAAUUUUUUGAUAAAUUAAGAUGUUUUAGUCAAAUAUAUUAAGAAUUUUAUCAAAUUUUUCGUGAUUUCAUCAAAUUUAAAAGUUUUGACCAUUUCUAACAAUUGAAGCUUGAAUAAUUUACAACUAAUUAGAAUUGCCCAAAUUAAACAAAUUUAGAAGAUAAAAAGAUGUUAAGAGUUGAGGAGUCGAUUUCAAAGGAGCCUAUGAUUGAGCAUGCCUUCGUACACUUCUAUCAAUUAUCUGCUCACAGCCAGAGCUAAACUAUGUUUAUCAGGGCAAUAAUCCGCCCUUUUUUUUAAUGAUCUUAAGAACAUGGUUAUAAGCUUUAAUUAAAAUUAUAAAAAAUAAAUAAAUAUUAUAAGCACAGUCCCACAAAAUUGUGGCAGCAUAAGAUUUAGUUGGUAUCAUAUUACACGAACGAGCCAUAUUUCAUGCGGAAUAUAUUAAACAAAAAUGAAAAUACAUGACGUGCAACAUAAUAUUUGACGCAUAUCGGGAGCAAUUCUAUGCACAUAUGCAUUUUGACCGUUCAUAUUGGAUGGUCCAAAUAGAACGAUCGGUCUUGGUUGAUAAGGUAUAUAUUUUAUCCAGUUACAUAUAUUAUUAGGAAAUAAAUCCAAUUUCAUUUGUUCCCUAUGUUUUUAAUAAAAUAGGAAUCAUUCACUAGGCUCAGCCUAAAUCUAAUAUUCAUAGUAGGGGUGGCAAUCCAGCUUUGUUGUUCGUAAACUAGCUCGUGUUCGGCUCGAAAUGAGCUCGAGAUCGAAUUGCUCGUUUAGUAAACAAGCCGAACACGAGCUGAAUUUUUCAGCUCGUUUAAUAAAUGAGCCGAACACGAACCGGCGUCAGCUCGCUAGUGUUCGACUCAAUAACAGCUCAAAUACAUAUAUUUUAUAUUUAUAUAAUCUAUUUAAUUUAUAUUUAUAUAUUUAUAUAUAUAAAUAAAUAAUUAUAUAACAUAUAUAUAUAUAUAUAUAUAUAUAUAUAUAUAUAUUAUUUAAUAUUUAGAAAAAAAAAAUAAAGUCGAGCUCAAUUAAAAAAAGAUGCAUUUAUAUAUAAAGUUUCAACCAUUAAAUCAAAAUCUAAUGGAUAAAAUUUUAUAAAUUUAUUGUUUAUAUAUAUUCAAUCUAAUCUAUUUAAUUUAUUGUUCAUUGGUCAGCUUGUGUUCGGCUCAUUUAUUAAUAAACCGAACACAAGCUGACUUUUUUGGCUUGAUACUUUAACAAGGCAACUCGUGUUCAGCUCGUUUAUUAAACGAGCCGAAUGCGAGCCAGCCCAGCUUACUCGUGUUCGGCUCCUUAACACCUCUAAUUCAUAGCUACUUCGAUCUUAGACAUCAUGAAGGUGCAGUCUGAAUAUCAAAAUAAGUUAUUCAAAAAGAAGAAUUUCUAGGAUUAUUAUAAGAAAGAAGUUUAAUUUUUUCUUCUAGAAAAAAAAAAAAUUGAUAUCCAUAGUUAGAUAGCAUAAUAUAUUUUAUUUACGAGAUAGUUUAUCUUAUCCAGAAAAUGAUUUCACAGAUUACAUUAGUAUACAAUUUGAAAAUUUUUAUCACACUGCUCAUCUACUAAUAUUAUGUAUAAAUUUUUCAAAUAAUAUUUAUAAAAUAUAUCAAAUAAAAUAUCCAUAUAUCCAAAUAGAGCCAAAGUUAGGACGGAAUCAAUCCAACUUAGAUUAAAGCAAAACUAAACCAAUUCAUUCAACGAAACCAAUCCGUACCUAACAAAACAUCUUUUAUUAGAGAACUGCCGAAGAGGAUGGACCUGGACCAUUGCUCGUGGGCCUACUACUGUGUAGGAGUAGAACCAUGUCGGUCCACCGAAGAGGAUGGACCUGGACCAUGUCUCGUGGGCCUGCUACUAUGUAGGCGGAGAACCAUGUCGGUCCACGAGAGCACCUAAUCUUUUAAAAUUUUUUUUAAUAGAAUAAAUUUUUUUAAAAAAAAUAUUAUUUAUUUAUGUAGAAUUAAUGACUAGUUAUUGUAAUAGAAUAAAAUUUUUUCAUUAUUGUAAUAUUUUUUUAAAAAAAAGAUUUUUUUUUCAUUAUUGUAAUUAAAAUUUUUUGAUAUGUCUCUGAUUUCUCCAUCUUAUUAUGGUACAAAUUAAGAGAACGCUACAGUACUAUUAUAUACAACCCUUAGUAAGGAUAAGAUAUUGAUGUGGCUAGGUCUAGUUAGGCUAAACGGCAAGCCCUUAUUUCCACCCUAGUGUGCGCGCAUGCAGAAUUGCAUUGCGUAAAGAGACACAUGAUCCAUUUUACAGUACUGAGCAACAAUAGUUCACAAUAAUUAAGGAGCACAUCCGAUUAUAGAUACUCAAACUUACAUACUCACUGGGCACACCGAAACAGAACAGAGACCACAAUGUCGAAGCAAGCUUAGCUAUUGGAUGCAGCAAACGUCGAUCCUUAUUUAUGUAAGUUAAGCAAAUAAGAUAGCAAACUGCAGUGCAUUGCUAAAUCAUUUACUUCCGACUUAUUCGUAGCUUCAAGUUUCAGAAACCAUCUUAAUAACUGCGACAUUAGCCCCUGAUUGUAGAGUGGGAUAGAGAGGAUCCAUGGCGAUUCCACAUAAUCCAGACGAAGACACACCUCUCGCCAUACGGACGUAUCCACGUUCACCCCAUGAGCUACCCCAUGAGUUCUUUACAAUCCAAUAUUGUGUUCCACUGCUAUCCUGCCCGUAACCUAUAAUGGUGAUGGCAUGAUUGAGACUAGUUCCACAAGGUCCACUAAACACACCGCCAUUGUAAUAUUGAAAGUUGUCUCCACUGGCAUCGAUAGCAGCAGCUAUUGGUUGAUUCCACACAGCGUACUUCAUGCUGCUUUCGUCGUUGCUUCGCACAUAUGAAUAACCAGUAAUGUAAGCUGAAUUGGGCCAGCUAUUGGCGGUGCAAUCGCCUUCGUAUGCUUGAUAAGGAUAGUCAGCUUCGGAGGCCACACCGUUGUUAGAUAUGAUGAAAUCGUAGGCAUUGUCCACAAAGCCGCCGUCGCACCCAUUGCUAACAGCACAAUCGAGAACUUCUUGCUCCGAUAGAGAUACUAAGUACCCUGUUACGAUCUUGUAGAUUCCUUCCACCGUCGCAAUUGCACUGAAUGCCCAGCAAGAACCUAUGCCGAAACAAAGAUAUGUGUUAGCAUAACUGCUGCACGCAAAGUUAUAUAUGAGAUUGCCAUGAUAUAAGGAAACAUUCAAACUAACAAAAUUAGCUGUUAUUUGCAAGUACAGAGCUGCUUUUAACUUGUUUUCAAUGGUUGUCAUGCAUAUGGAUGUCCUGUUCUGACUAACACGUACUUUGCUUACUUUGCUAGUAUGAUUAUUGUGAUUAUUAUAGUAACUUAAUUAAUAGUAAGAGACUCAGCAAAUAGACUUAACGUGUAGAUAGAUUGAAUCAAGUCGAAGCUUGUGAAUAUUGUGGUUGAGUCCUUAAAUGCGAUGGAUGUGUCUUUUUUAUCACCACAUACGUGUUUCUGGGAUAGUUGAUUAGCACUUAAAGAUGCAUUCGAUAGCUAAUCUGAUUUUUCAUUAACUAGAUUCAAUACUUCAUUUCUUUGUGCAUUGAUAAUAUGUGAUAAUCCAUGUUUAGACACUUUUAAUCAGCCGAAGUAAUGGAAUUAUUGAGUUUUAGUGGGCGGAAAUUUGGUCCUUUUGUCCAGAAAAGGCAGAAGGCAUUCGGUAGCAAGCAUAUUUGAUCUAAGCAACAUGUUAGCAGCAUCUUAUAAAGUUAACUAAGAAUAGAUAUUUUACUUUUUUCUAGCUAAAGAAAUGAAGUUGCAUUGACAAUUUAUAGUCUAAAUUAUUUCUUACCACAGGGGUUUUGGUCUUUGACCUCUGUUACGGCACCAUAGUCUCUCCAAUCAAUACUUUGACCCACCGCAGAGAUGUUUACGUCAUCAAAUGACACCACUGGCUCUCUCUUGAAAUUUAGUGGGAGAGAUACACCAGUAUAUUGAGUAACAAAUUCGUUAUUUGUCAUAUCGGUAAACUUAUUGAUACCGAGAGUGUAUGAAUUUCCGUUGCGAUUGUUAAAGGUUUCGAUAUGAUUCACGUUGUUCUUGAAUAUCUGAAACCGGCGCAUCUUCUCGUCGUUGUCCUUGUACACUCGGCCGUACUCUGCCAUCCAUUCUUCAAACCGCUUCAUCAUGGGAUCACUGGGUUCGUCACGAGAAGCUGCCGAUGGCGAAGCCCACAUCACACAGAGAAACAAGAAAAGAAACACGAGUUGAACUUUGGAAGCCAUGCUUAUGUAGCACUAAAUAUCUAGUAUAUGUAUGAGGAAAUUGGAGAUCGAGCUACAAGAGCUU
rnacentral:lncRNA from 1 species